rnacentral:lncRNA from 1 species
CUUUUAACCUAGAUUCACCAUGACCAAGGACCUCCAAUGAAUUCAUUCGUGCAGCAGGAGCAUAAUCAUAGUCUCUAUCAUCACCACUACCUCUCUCUACAUAUGCUGCUGGAGUAUAGUCGUAAUGUGGACUUGUUUAGACACGUUUGGAAGUAUGUUAUGUUACAAGAAGAAUGUGCACAACCAUAUACUGGGCUGCCACGUCAAAAAUUCACUUUAAAUGUAAUCAUAUUAUUCUUUGUAUAUCCUGGUAGAUAUAGAAUCAUACGAACAUGACUUAAGUUGUUUAGAUUCUGCAAAAAUGAUACUGUAUUCAUGUUAAAUUUUUUAAAAUUGUACUAUUUUUAGAGAAUUAGACACACGUCUAAUGAUACUUUUAACGAAUCCAACCAACAUAGAAGACAUCUUCUUUUGAGAUCCAAUUAUCUUGAAAAUGGUAGACAUUCGAUAUGAUCAUCUUGGAAUAUAGAAAUAUUAGAUAGACAAGUGUAUGGUUCUAAAGUUGUGUUUUCUAUUUUAAGGCCUAAUUUCCCUCUACUCCAACAAUCCAACUUCUCCAUCCUCUCCUAUAUAUAUAGAUGAGUGAUUGUCCUAAAAUUUAUUAAUUAGGGUCAUAUACAUCUUCUGCAACAUAUAUAUUUUUAAAAGUAAAUGCACCUUCAUAAUAUUAUUAUUUUUUUCUCCAUCAACUUAUAUUUCUUUGUAUACAUGUUUUAAUUAAUCAUCAACUUUUUAGUUUUAUGUUUUACAGGAUGAUGAUGGGUUCAAGAUCACUUCAACUUUUUAUCUUGUUUGUUUGUUCUUUGACCAUCACCGCAAUUGAAUGCUCAGAAUGUUCAGAAGUAAAAAAACAAAACCCAAAUCUUUAUAAUAUAACGAGAACAAUAGUUCAUAGCGCCUUGUCAAAAGGAGCAGGUUAAUUAAUUAUUAAUAUCUUUAUUUAUAUGUAAAAAUAAUUUCAUAUUUGAUGAGAUAUAUAUUCCAAGAAUAAAUUUGAUAUUAGAUUUACAUUAUAUAUAUUUAAAUUUAACAUUAUUUAUUUGGCAGUGUGCUUGGAUGGAUCACCUCCAGCAUACUAUUUUGAUCCAGGAUUUGGAGAUGGAGUUGAUAAUUGGAUUGUCCAAAUUUCUGUAAGCAGGCUAUAACAUAUGUUUAAUUCUAUUAAUAGAGUAAAAAUAUAGAUAUGUAUUCUUUUACGUUUUAAAAAGAAUCAUCUAUUUUUCUUUUUAAUUUAUUUUAGAAAAUGAUCCUUUUCUUUUUGACAACACUUUGAUAUCAACUUUUCACGCAGUGUGUUUAAGACCACAAGAUUAAAAGACAUUUUGAACGUUUGACAUAACUUUAAUUUAAGAUCACAAAAUUUAAAAACUUUCUUUAUUUUUCUUAAAUUUUUUGUCAAAUUAAAAUAGGUCAUUCUUUUGGAAACAAGAGGAGUAUAUUGUUGUUUCAAAAAAUAUGUUCUCCCCUUUUCAAAAAGAAUGAUAUACACUUUUUUUUUAGUUCGUUUGAAAAAUAAUGACAUCUUUAAGAUCACAGGAUUAAAAGAUAUUUUAAUACAUACAUUUGACAUAACUUCAGUUUAAACCUACAAGAUUCAAUAGUCUUCAAUCUUUAUUUUUUAAAAUUUCGUAUCAAGUUAAAACAGGUCAUUUCUUUUAAAACGAAGAAAAUAUAUUAUUGUUUCAAAAUAUUUAUUAAACAACUUUGUUCAUAGGGAGGAGCAUGGUGUGUAAACGUCACAGACUGCAUAGGACGUACCAAGACACAACUUGGUUCAUCAAAAUAUAUGGAUAAACUAGAAUUUCAAGGAAUUCACAGCAAAAAUAAGAGUGCAAAUCCAGGUAUUUUUUGGAUUAAUAUAUCCUGAAAUUUUGACGAGUAUUUUAAGAAUUUAAGGAUAAUUAAUCCUAUUUAUGAUCAUUUUUAUGUAAAAUAUGCAGAUUUUUACAAUUGGAACAAAGUCAUUCUUGCAUAUUGUGAUGGUGGAUCGUUCGUAGGAGAUGUUGAAUAUGUUGAUUCAGUAUGUUUUUUAUUCAAAGAUAUAAUUUUCAAUUUCACUUUAAAAUAUUUGCUUUUAAUUGUUGCAAGUAAAUUAUCACUACCUUAUAUUUUUCUUUGUUUAGGCUACCAAUCUUCAUUUUAGAGGGAAAAGGAUCUUUUAUGCAAUAUUAGAGGAGUUGCUAGAAAAGGGAUUAAAGAACGCCAAAAAUGUAUGUGACUAUCUCAUUUAGUUCUGUAUUUAUAUAAAUAUGUAACACCUUAAUUUAAUAUUAUUAUCGCGAUUUUUAUUUUAUAAAAAAAAUUAUUUAUGUACCUCAAUAUUUAUUUUGCUAUUACAGGCCCUCUUAGCUGGUGGUUCUGCCGGAGGAUAUCCAGCAGUAUUAUACUGCGAUAACUUUCGCGAUUCAUUGCCAAGUGCCGCUCGAGUUAAAUGUCUCAAUGAUUGUGGCUACUUUCCUCAUUUGUAAGACUUUAAUUUAAAUCAGACUUUUGAAGCUAUUGUAUUUAAAUAUUAUUUAAUAAAUAAAAAUGAAUCUAUCUAUCUAUCUAUCUAUCUAUCUAUCUAUCUAUAUAUAUAUGUAUAUAUAUAUAUANNNNNNNNNNNNNNNNNNNNNNNNNNNNNNNNNNNNNNNNNNNNNNNNNNNNNNAUUAUAUCUAUAUAUAUAUAUAUAUAUAUAUAUAUAUAUAUAUAUAUAUAUAUAUAUAUAUAUAUAUAUAUUUCAUCCAUUCUAUUAUAUUUUAUCCAUUCUAACUUUGAAUAUAUAUUUAUCUUUCUCAUAACAGCAAGAAUCCUGAACUCGAAAAAAAUUGGCACGUCAGAUUUUCAGGAGUUGCCGAAUUACAAGUAUAUUCUUGUCCCUUUCUUACAAGCUAAGUGCUAAAUAAAUUAUUUUUGUUGGAUUCGAAAUCGAUUAGGCGUCAUGCAUGCGAAAAUUAAUGUAUAGUGUAAUAAGGAAUUCUAGAAAAGAAGAUUGAGACUCUCUCCACGGUCCCACGAAGAUCUCUACAUACUUAUUCAGGACAAGUGAAAUCUUUGAUCUGCGUAUCUAGGAGUAACUCAAACAAAGAAGAGUGCGACAGAUCGAUUAGCUCCGAUGAUUGAGGGAGAAUAUAUGUAAGAGAUGAUUUACAGACAAAAGUAUUCAAUUAUUUGAAAAAAAAUCAAUAUACUUCUCAAUAAUGCAUUCGGUCAAACUUUUUUUUGGUGUCAAGGUAUUAGUAUAUAUUUCCUAAUACAUCUACUCCUAAAUAAUAAUUUAUAUUCUAAAUUAAUAGAGAUUAUUGUUUCCUAAAACCUCUUUAAACAUGUGAGUUGCAGGGAGCUGCCCAAUCAUUACCUAAAUCAUGCACUUCAAAAAUGAAACCAGAAUUGGUAUAAACUUUUAAUUCCUUAUUUAAUUUAUAUAUAUAUAAGUUAAAUACUUUUUUCUUGAAUGUUUUGUAAUCUUCCAAUUUGCUGCAGUGCCUCUAUUCACAGAAUAUUCAACAAGAUAUCAAGACACCUCUUUUUAUUUUCAUGUCAGCAUAUGAUAAUGUUGAGGUCGGUAAUUCAUAUUAUUAUUACUAUAUUUUUCAUCCUUUUUAUUUUCUCUAGUGUAAAAUCUAAUUUUGUGAUACUUCCACCGUUCAAAAUUAUUUGUCCAUCUUUUUUACUUGGCACACCCAUCAAGUAAAUAAUAGUAAUUGUUAUAUUGACUUUGCAUAUUACCCCUAUUAAUUGGUAGUAAUUGAAAUUUCAAAAAGUCUUUGUCAAUAAAUUGAAGGAUAAAACUAGAAAAAAAAUUAUUUUUCUUAGUGUAUAAAAAAUAUUAAGUAAAAGCGGAAAUAAAAAAUAGAAAUAAGUGAAAAAUAACUUUGAAAUUUCAAAAGUUUUUUUCACAAACAAAGUCUAUUUAAUAAGAUUAACUUUUAAGUAACAUUUAGGGAUCAUUUGGUGUGAGUUAUAAGGGAUAAGUAGUUUUGAAAUAAAAUGAAAAAUUAUUUUAUCUCAUGUUUAGUGUGUGAUAUUAGUUAGUAUCGAAAUUAUUUAUCCCAUCAUUUAUAUCAUAAUGAUUAAAUAAAUUAUUCCACAUAUAUGAAAGAAUAAUUAAUCUCAAAAUAACUAAUCUCAAAAUGAAUUAUUACAAAAUAAUUCUUUCCCAACGAAACGACCCUUACUAAAUUAAUGCUCCUCCUAAAUGAACUGUAUUUUUGCAGACAAAAUAUACAUUUGGAGAUUAUAUGGGUGGCCUCAUUGACGGUGGAAAAUGCUCAGCAAGUCAGAAUCAAAGCCUGAUAGGUUAGUAUACACAUGACCUACACAAAAAUUGACUUUAGUAGGUGUUUGGUAUAGAUUUCUUGAUCCGACAUCGUUCAAAAACAAUCACUUUACCUUUUUGAGGUAGUGAUAAAGAUCUAUGUCGUAUCUUUUAUCCUUUCAGAUCUCAUUUUUGAGGUUUUAGUGGGUAUAUAUUAUUAUUAUUGUUUUAUUAGAAGUUUAUAGAAAUGUGUUUGAUUAUACUUUUUACAAAAAAAUAUUUGGAACAAUAUCCGUGCUUGAAUGUAUUUUUAUACAAUUUAAAAAGUGAAAAAAUGAGGUAGAGAAAAUAGUUUAUAGCUAAUUGUUUUCGAUAUUUAUGAUACAACUUCAAGUUGAAUCUAAUAUUUUCAUAACUAAACAUUGAUUUUUAAAUUAAGUUAAAAUUAUUUCGGAAAAAAAUAAUACACCCUCUCAACUAUGUUAUACAGUUCAAGUUACACGAAUUUUUCACUUUCGAUGUCGCCAUUUAUGUUGGAUUCUUUAAUAAUACACGGACUCCUCGCAUUCGUGUUGAAUUCUUUAGAAAUAUAAUAAAUUUGACGAAUUCAACACACGCUGUUGAUAUGAUUAAAGAGUGCAAGCAACAUAAUAUAUAGUAAUAUUUCUAAUAUUUUUGGAUUUGACAUUUCAGAAAUGAGGUCAGAAUUCUUAAAUGCAUUACCCAAAGGAGAUAAUCCAAACUUAAGAGGAGUUUUUGUAGACUCAGUACAUCAUCAUAAUAGCCUUCUGCGGAGGUGGAUUCCUGAAACUGCCAUUAACGUAAAUGGUCAGGUAAGAUAUUAUUUAUUUAUUUAUAUUUGAAAAUAAAAUUUAUAAACUUAAAGUAAAGUGGUCAAAAAUAUUUUUAAUCUUUGCCAAAUACCUUUAAAAAUAAAUAAAAAAAUAUUUAUAAUCCAAAAACACUUAUAAAUAAGUUAAUUCAAGCACCAUUUAAAAAGCACUUGUUAAAAGAGAAAAACUUCUCAAAAUAAGCUGAUUUAUAAGUUCAUCCAAACAAAUUAUCAAUGAGUAAAUUACUAUUUUGACAGCGAGGCUUGCUAACUAUUUUGUUUUCCACUUUUGUUUGUUUGUGCAGCUUCACACAAAGGUAUUUGCUGAUUGGUACUUUGAUCGAAAAUACACCUAUUUGAUUGAUGAAACUAAUGAGUUGCCACUCACAAAUAAUGCUCGACUCAUAUGGCAAGUUGACAAUACAACUGGUCGAGUCAUAUAUACAGCAUAAACUUAUGUCUGUUUAAUUCCAAGAAAGCAUGCAAGUACAUUUAUUUGUUGACAAUGCAACUCGCUAAUGUUCAUGUAAACUGCUUCUCAUAUAUAUAUAUAUAUAUAUAAAGUUCCCUUUGACGAAAGUACUAAAAAGUUCUGGCCUCCGAUAUUGUGACAUAAGUUUUACUUGUCUAAUUGUUUACUUAUAAACUUAUUAGUUUAUGUAUUUUGCAUUUAUUCCAUCUAAUUGUGUAACUACUUAUGUUUUCAGGUUAGAAUUCGAACCGUCAUUCUUAUGUGUAUAGACUCAAACCUAACGAUUUUUAUGUAAAUUUAAGUGGAUCAAUUCUAUAGUGUGGGAACAUCUUUGGCGAUGAAUGGAGGUCAUAAAAAUUUUCUAAUUCAAAGUUGAGUUGAAAACUUUUCUACCGGUUGAGUUUUAGUGGACGUUCCUACUUGGAAGAACUUUCAAUGACUAUUACUCCUAGAAUAUAAUGAUUUAGGUGGCCUACUAUAUACCAAAUGAAAUAUCUUCGAGUCUUCUUUCCAACGCAUCUGAUUUCACCUUAAUCCGAUAUCAUAGUGGAAAGUUAUGCUUACUUUACCUAAGAAUGUCUGUCUGCCAAAGAUUGACAACGGGAGUUGACGAGCCGUCAACUAGUUGAUGGGCUGUCAACUGAAGCUUUCAACCUUAGGCAGUAAAGCUCAAAAUCUUUCAGAAGUUGACGGCGGGAAUUGCCGGGCUGUCAACUAGUUGACGGGCUGUCAACUAGUUGACGGACUGUCAACUAGUAGACGAGCUAUCAACUAAAGUUGUCAACCUUAACCAGUAAAGAUCAAAGAUGGAUAGAGAUUGGCGACAAGAGUUGACAAGCCAUCAACUAGUUUACGGGUUAUCAACUGAAAUUGUCAACUACGAAAUUCCUAUAAAUUUUUUUAGUUUCUUUAGGGGUAUUUUUUUCUUUUCCUCACCUCAAACCCUACCCCACGACUUAAAUCACUCUAUAAGCAUUAUUUACUCAUCAGUUAUCAAUUUUUAAAUGUUCAAUCUCCUCUCCACUCUUAAGAGAAAAGAAGAUAGGGUUUCUUUUCAAAAUUCAUAUUUCCAAGGCUCAGAUUCAAGGUGUCUCAAAUUUUGUUUAUCAAAAAGGAAUGUAAAACGAUCAUCAUACUCAUGAGCUUAACUAUGGUGUUUUCAUAUACUAGAAAAUUAUAUUUAUAUACAUAUGCUAUGGAUUUUAAAAUUGUUGAAAAUUAUGAAUUACGAACCUCUUUUUAUGAUGAAAUUUAUGCAUUUAACUAGUGUUGUGAAAUAUUUAUUGAAUGAUGAAAUGGCUGAGUUUUAAAUGCUUCUUUAGCAAAUUAUAUAUUUUUUAUUUAUGUGGAUUCAAAGGGUGUUUCUUGUAUUGUUAAAUGCUCUUGUUUUCUCAAGGAGAGUGUAUGAAUUAUGAAAAGAUGACCACUUUUACGAGUUAUAAAAAUGUCUUUAAAGAAUGUGGUUUUACCUAAACUUGCUCAUGGAUUUUGUAAGAGAAUUCUUAUGUGAUAUCUGAAUUAAUAUGAUGGUCAAUGAUAUAUGUUUCGAAAGAAGGGCAAUGAGGAUGAUAUGACAUGAUACAACUUCCAAGUCUAGAUAUGACGAUACCUUUUACGGGAUGCCCUUAAAAGAAUAUGAGAUGAACUUUUAUAAGAAUGAAACAUGAUUUUAAGAGGCUCAAAAUGAGCUUUAAGAGGUUAGAUGGUUAACCGAGAAACCAUGAGUUGAUAAUCUUACAACCCAAAAUAGUGUUCUGCUGAUGCUGGAAUUGAUUCAGUCCUGAAAUAUGGAUGGACCACGUAUACUUGCCCCGGGCAUUGGUAUACCAAGAUAGAAUGUAGAGAAUCCAAUCCUUGUGGCAAACUUAGAUUUGGGGGGCUUGGUCUAUGAGUUAAAGUCGAACCAUAUACCUCGUUGAUAGUAAAAAGGUCGAGAAUGUCAUCUAGCUCUGAAUUAAAUAAAAGAGUUGAGUCUAUCUUUUUACGAGAUUGAUUGAAGCUUUUAAAUUAUUCCCAUAUAUUUUGAUUUCUAUUUUUGUUAAAUUAUUUUCAUAAUUCUCUUAUUUAUUUUGUAUAAAAUAUAUGUUGUUUUGGGGUUGUUCUACAUGCCAAUACAUUCCGAGUAUUGACCAUCCUUGGACGGCUACAUCGUUUCAUGAUAAAGGUUUUGAGGCUUAAUCUCAUGGUCCAUCACAGUAGUAGAACCAUCUGAAGCAUCAGAGUUGGCGUGCCUCCAUCUUUUGAAAGGCGUUUUUUUCAUGUGUUCAUGUCUUUUAGUUUAUGAUCCUACCGGUGGCCUUGUCCCGAUCUAGACAGUUAUUCUUCAGUAGAGGCUUCGUAGACUAGAUUUGGUUAACCUUUUUGUUAUGACUUUAUUGAUGGAGUUUUCUUAUAAGAUAUCUUGAACUUCAUUAUAUCUUCCGUAUUUCGCAUGAAUUAUGCUUAUGAUAGUAUGCUAUGGCAUCUCUCGGGCCUUUGUGGUUCGAAAUUCUCAUCGCGGCCAGGGCCAUGACUCAAAUCCUGAAUACUUGGUAUCAGAGCACGAUUCAGAAUCUCAGGGUAUCUACGAAGCCGUGUCGAGUUGAUACAAGACAAGAUACAAAAAGCUGCAACAUACACAAACGAGGGGGAAAUAAGGGGAAACACAAGGCAACAAGUAAGAUAAAGAGAUAGAAAGACAGACACAAAAUGGUAUUCGAAAGAAAAAAUAAAAAGUAUACCAAACCCUAAACCCCCUCUUAACGAUUACUACGAGCACCUAAUUCUUACGUAUACCUCAACGAAAUCGGAUUUUCGAGCAAUCAAUAUUUCAAACCGAAGUAUCAACACAAGCUAGUUCAAGAUUGUAAUUCACUCAUAAAGAGCAUUCAUUCAUAAAUUAUCAAAAGUUGUAAAUGAAAUGACUAAGGCGUCUAUUUAUAGUGUUUUCCUUUGCAUAAAAUAGCUUAUUACAAAAUAGCCCAAAGUGGAUAUUUGGGAAAUAACCCACAAGGUCUCUUCAAAGCAUCCUCCAAGCUCCAAGCAAUUAUCCACACAUAGAAUUACGGGUUUAGGAGAUUAAAAGAGGUCCACCAAGUCCAUUCUCGAGCUUUUUUCUUGACCAUGGCUUGUACCUCUUUGUAUUGGCCUCGAAUGAUUUAAUCUAAAGCUUUAAGGCCACUUUGGCUUGUAUCAUCCCCCCUUUCUUGAAAAGGAUUCAUCCUUGAAUCCAAACCUUGCAAAAACAAAGAAAGGAUAAACAAACAUGAUAUCCUCAGGCAUGAGGGUUAGAGUUAGCACAAUCAAUCAUAGUAUCAUGCCAAGCUUGCACACACUUGAGAUAUAACCAAACAUCAAAAUGACUAAUCAAGGGUUUAUAACCCCAAAAGGUAAGAACUACUUGGUCAUUCAAAAGCUUUAAACAAAAAGGUCUGUUAGAGGAACCAUUGUGGUAAAUCAACCGCUCAUGAAGGUUCACAAGGGUUCCAAAAUUCAAUAAGUACCAAAACUUUCUAUGUCUCUCAUUUGUGUUGGAGAUCCUUUCCUUACACAACUUUGGUCCCUCAAGUAGAUUAGAAAUCUCCAAGAAAGACUUUCCAUCUUAGGGAUAAGUUCCAACACCCUCACCCAUGGUUGUAUCAUCUUCUUGCCCAAGCAUCAAACGGUAUGGAGAAGAAGAUACCAUAUUUCAAAUUAUCACCAGGAUCAAAUGGGUAGAGUGUCCAUGGAUAUGGAUUUAGGAGACACUUCUUUUCCCCAGAUUACCACCAAUACAGUUAUGUAUACCCUCUAUACUAGCAUAAUCAUUAAUAAAGGCGAUUAGGGGGUUACUCCGAUUCAAUCAACCAAUAUUUUCAACAUCAUCAUUCACCUUAGGUCCUUUAAAAACUUCACAAGCAUUCCUAAGCGAUGGGAUAGGUUCACACACAAGUUGGUCCUCAUGGAUUCCAUAAGACAAUAUACUAUUACUCAUCACAAUGGCUUCAAUACUAGGUUGAUACAAAUUGAUCUUGCUAGAAGAGUCAAUUUUUUAAUCAUUAUGAUCAACUAGUGUAUCCAUACUCUAAAUUUGUACAUUAUUAUAAUGGAGUAAAGAGCCAUUAGGCUUGCCUAAAGAUAGGCUAUCAUUCACACUUAGUUGGCUACUACCCUCAUUCACUAGAGUACAAGAGUUAGCUUUGUUACCUUGAAGUUUAAUUAGAGCAUGUCCACUCAAGGGAGAUUGAAGAUUUGGUGGAUUGGGAAGGGUGGAUUUAAGAAAUCUUAGACGAUCUAUCAUAUUGUCCAUAUUCCCUGAAAGGGAUCUUUCCCUGCUCUCUAUUCUUCCUUCAAGAGAUUUCAUUCGGUUAUCCAUGGCAUCAAACCUUCCCAUGAUUGAUCCAACCCAACUAAGAAUCUUACCUCCAUCCACCAUUGUACCUAUCAAAAGAAAAACUAAACAAAAGAAUAAAAACAAUAAACAAGUUAAUUUUAGGAAAACAACCUUACAAGCUCUCAAGGUUCACCUUUGAUUGUCACUCAAUUGGCGUUGCAAGUGUUGAUAACUCCUUUGUACUCUAUUGAGAUUACUUGGUAUUGAUUAUGGCUUGAGUUUGGAAUGGAUUCUUAUUUGAAGGACUCAAAUAAAUAAAAAUUAUGUACGGACUUGAAUAAAAAACUAACAAUUAAAUGAAAAGAGAAAAGCUAGAAAGAAAUAGGACAAUGAAAGAAACGGAAUCUAAAACUAAUUCAUAACUAAGUAGGAUGAUUAUUACAUGUUAAUUAGUGUUUGGAAUCAAAUAAAAGAAGUUAAAGAAUCAAUAAAAGAAACUAAGAAUCUAAAAUUGAGCUUAAGAUAAUUUGAUGAUUUGAAUUGAUGUUGCUGCCUCCAAGUGAUGACUAGGUUGUGGGUCCUCACUUGACUAACACCUAAGGUUGACAAAAAGGGGAAGUCGUCAGUGUUAGGUAGUGAGUUUGAUGACUUGGCCUCCUUUAGUUGACAACUUAUCACUAAAGUAACGACUUAAAGUGAUCAAUAGGGACUAGUCAUCAGUCUUAGUAUAACGCCUCAAUUUUCUGAACCGGAAUGCUACACGAUGCUCAUGACUCCGAAGGACCACAAGCUAACCCAUGACUGAUAUCUGUACCUGUAGAAUGUGUAAUAUCUUAUAAAAUGAGGAAAUAUGCACUGAAAGGCCAUAAGGUUCAAUACUGAACAUAAUUUAAAAAUAAUAAUAUCUGAAAUAGAGUGGUAUCAUAAUACCAAAACAAAAUUGAAAUACUGAAGUCUGAAAAACAUGGAAAUAUUGUAGCCGUCUAAAAUUCUCGAAUUGGCUGAAUAAGGAGUUGAUGGGACAUUUCCCCAACUAACUCCAUCAACUGAAAAAUUAAACUGAAUAGAUAAAUAAGAUCACAUCCUCAGAGAAUGAGGACUCACUGCUAAAGACCUCUGAAUACUGAAGUACUACUGCUGCUGCUGAUCUGGGAGUCGUGUCUCUGAACCUAUAGUGUAGCAUUAAAAGAAAGCAUUGUAGCGCAAAUACAUUAGUACGUGGGAAUGUACUGAGUACACAAGUGAGGUAGGCUGAAUACAUGGGGUUGACAUGCAUGAAGGAUAAUAAAUGACUGACCAUUAUGAACGUGAGAAUACAUGCAUGAAUACAUAGUAACUGAAAUCGUGAGAACAUGAUAACUAAAUCUAUGUACUGAUGACAUGAGUUUACUAAUAACUGAUAACAUGAGUGACUGUAACUGACAGUCCUGAAUCUGAAGGAGCUAUCUGAGUUCCGUACUGUAUCUAAGUUGACUGUAUCUGACAAUCUUGAAUUCUGAAGAACUAUCUGAGUUUUUUUACUGAGACUGUUACUGAAACUGUGGGAAGUAGUUAUUUAUCCGACAUACCCCAAAUGUGCUAUAAUAGCUAAGCUGGGGUCCAAUCUGUGCCCUGAUUGGAAGGGUGUUGAUACCGCACCCUUGAUAAGGACAAACUGUGGGUAACCCUCAUCUGACAGUGUCUCCAAAAGAAAAUGGUGGUGCCCUUAUCUGAUAGUGUUUAUCCACCUCAUGAACCCUCAUAUGACAAUGUUGAUGUCUCAACCUAUGCUGGCUACAUAGUUCUGGAAUACAAGAAUGACUGCUAAGAAUCACACCCUCAUCUGGCAGUGUGUGUUCCUAUCCUUAGGUUCACUCGGUGCUAAUUUCUACUCCCAUCUGAAGAGACUGAACAUGAUUAACUGAAUGUACAUGGACUGAGUUUACUGAAUUCCAUUGACUGAUGGAAUACUAUCAAUAUCUGAUUACUGACUGAGAUCAUGAGAUUUCUGAGAUUUCCUGAGUCACAUGACUGACUGAAUUCUAUGGAACAUGGCUUGACUGAAGAUAUCGUGAAAACAUGACAUGGGCUCUAGGCACACAACUAUAUUUUUUGGGUACAAGUAUCCCCUAGAUUCGAUGGAAAGAAAUUGACACAACCAUGACACUUCUUGAUCAUAGGAGUACAGUUCAUAAUUCACAAUGCUAUAAAUAAGGGAUUUCACGCUUCGCAUAGUUAUCAUAUUCUUGAUCAUGGAAAGGAAUGCGUGUAACAUGUACAUACUUGCAUGAUUGCAAUAUCAUGAACAUUGCGUAACACAACAAUCAAUACACAACAAUAACAUGGAAUUUGUCUUGAAUCAUGAGGGGUAGCAUGGACUUGUCAUUUGGGCACUACUAAGUCAUGAAAACAUGAUUCCUAUCAUUUUAGGCAUUCUAUCGAACACCUUGCAUGCACAACUUUAAGCAUAGGUGUCUUUUAUCAAUUUAACAAUCUAAAACUACCCAAAUCCAUAGGUUUUCAAUCAACAAACUCACAUACUUCAUGAAAAGUCAUCAAGACACCAUCUUGAAACAUAAAUGACAACUAUCAACAUGAACGUGAUCGAAUCACAACAAGAAAAUCACAAUAUGUUAUUUAAAAUAUGAUUCUUGGACUCCACGAAUGAAAGAAAUUUGUGGAUGAACUCUACGCAUACCUUAGUUUGUGAUUUCAUGAAGAUUGAUGGUGAAAUUUCCUUGAAAUUGAAUCUUCUAUGAAAACCCUAGGGCUUGUUCUUGAGAGUUUUUUAGAGUACUUGAAUAUAAGUUGCUGAAUUAUGGCCAAAUCUCGUAUUAUAAGGAUUAUAUAGGGUGGGAAAAUUGACCCGUUUAACUCUAGGACAGGUCUUUAAAUUUGAGAAAAUUUCUCGAUUUUCAUCCUUGGCGCGAUGCACCACCAUCGCGCCAAGUCACUGGAAAGUGACAAAUGGGAAAUUGCACGGUGGCGCAAUACAGAGCUAUUGCGUUACCACCUUAUCUGUGACCUAAAAGUUUAGUGUGAUGCGCCACUAUCGUAGAGCAAUAUUGGAAAUUGACAAUUGCCAUUUGAGCUAUCUCUGCGAUGCACUGAAGGCUCAGGUCAUACAUUGUCUUACUAAAAAGGCUCUAACUCUUCGCCCGGGUGUUAGAUUUGGGCAAAUUAUAUAUCGAUGGAAAGCGUAUUCAAUUUUCCACGUGAUAAGAAGUGAAAAUUAUAGAAAUACCAUAUGUAUAAGAAUGAAUUCUUAUUUCAAAUUAAGUUCUAACAUCCUUGAGAUGAUUUUCAAGCUAAGAAAAAAUAUGGGUAUUACACUUAGGUAGUGGGGUUGAAGACUUGUUAUGAUUGAUUGUCACUUGGUUGAUAAUAAGGAUGGUUAAACGUCAAUUAGUUGAAGACUGGUGACUUGGGCUAGUCGUCACCCUAAACCAGUGAGGUUGACGACUUGUUAUGAUGGCUUGCAUUGGAGUUGAUGAUUAAAGGUGACGACAAGGGCUAGUCGUCACCCUUAAAUAUUGUGCGUCCAAGUCUCUAAUCGUACAAUAUCAAGGUGUGGAGGGUCUUCAAAUAUUUUUCUCAACUUUUGGAUGAUCUUGAUAGAUUCUUAGAGAUUAUUCAAGGCCUUGAUCACUUCAGUAAUGAAUCAAUCCACCCUUGAAAGCCUUGAAUCCUUUGUGGUCCCCUCCUUUGUACUUACUGUUAUUUUCUUUCUUAGGAAUAUUCCCUUUUGAUGCCAAUUGAUCCUUUCCUAUUUUUGGAAGACUUGAAAUAUUCUUUGAAACAAACAAGUACAACACUUUCUCCCACCUUUCUUUUGGAUAAAACACUCAUUUUUUGAAUGUUCUUUUUCAACAACAUAUGAAGAUCAUGACGAACACCAAGAACAUUUAAAAUUGACCCUUACGAAAAUGACAUCAAAAUUCGAUGAAAUUCAAACCCCAAUCUCACGUCAAUAAUCCAAGCAUAAUACCAACAUUUUCAAGCCCAAAAUCUCAACAACAAAUCACCAAUUUGAGAACCCACCUCAAAUUUUCCCACCUCAAAUUUUCUUCAAACUCAAGCUCCAACAAUGGUAGGUCACUCAAAUAAACAACUACAAUUUAGCUCAAAUUUUAGAUCUCAAAUUAAAUAGUGUUAGGGAACAAGGAUCUAACAAUAGAAACAUAAAAUGACAAAAAAAAUCAAAAACUAAAAAUUUUUGCCUGGGGGUAAAAUGGAAAUAAAAUAUUUUCAUUGUGAUUUUUGAUUUUCAACAAAAAUAGACCCAAGAUUGACUUCAUGGAAAUAAAAUCAAGCUUUGAUCUAAUACAAAAUAAUAAAAGACAAGAUACGAAAAGCGAAAACAUACAAAAAUGAGGGGGAAAAUAAGGGGAGAUCCAAGAUAACAAAUAAGGUAAAAAGAUAGAAAGAUAGACACAAAAUGAUAUCGAAAGGGCAAAUAAAGAGUAUAUCAAACCCUAAACCCUUCCUUAACUAUUACAACUAUAACCUAACUCUUACGUAGACCUCAACGGAAUCGAAUUCCUGAGCAACCUACGUUUUGAAUCGAAGUAUCAACACAAGUUAGUCCAAGAUUGUAAUUUACUCUUAAAGAGCAUUCAUUCAUAAAUUAUCAAAAGUUGUAAAUGAAAUGACUAAGGCAUUUAUUUAUAGUGAUUGUCUUUGUAUAAAAUAGCCUAUUGCAAAAAUUGCCCAAAAGUGGCUAUUUGAGAAAUAACCCACAAGGGCUUUUCAAAGCAUCCUCCAAGUUCCAAGCAAUUGUCCACAUAUGAAUUGUGAUUUUAGGAGCUUAAAAAGGGUCCAUCAAGUGCAUCCUCGAGCUCUUUUCUUGACCAUAUCUUGGACCUCUUUGUAUUGACCUUGAAUGAUGUAAUCAAAAGCUUUAAGGUUUCUUUGGCUUGUAUCACGAAUAAAGUCCCUUGUAUGGGUGUGUAGCGUGCCACACUUAUAGGAGGGAGGCUAUGAGGCAUUUUGAAUUUUUUUUUUGUUCUUUCAUACUCUAGACCAUGCAAUAGUGUUGUCCAUGUGAAAGUUAUCCAAAUUUCUUCCUUGCUCUAAUUGUGUGGGCUAUGCCUCAUUGUCGAGGCGAUAAAAGUGCAAAAUCUUAGAUUCCGAACGAUGUGAUCCCCUCCACUAAGUCAUCGAAAAGUUAAGAAACCAUACAAGUGCUUGAAAGAAGUUCAUUAGUGCAUCAAAGUUUAUAAAUUCGAGGUAUACCUCUAUCUUCAUGAAUUGUGUAUUUCAUCUUGAGUUAAGAAGCGUAUUAAAUCCCUUUCAGAAACUUUAUUGAAGACAUCUCUCUUAAGGAGAAAGAUGUGUAUCUAAAUGUUGGGAUAGUAUUUCCAUCCAAAAGGUUGUAUAAAUUGGGGUAUUAUGACUUAUGAAUAGUAAGAUGAUCUCAAGGUUAGUGAUAUGAAGUCAUAAGUUUAGAAGCCAGAGUGAGGGUAACUUUUGAGUGAAAAAGGUAGUAAUAUUAUUGUAACAAUUAAGUAAGUGUUGGAGGUGGUAUGUUCUUUUGGUGAUUGGCUAUGGAUGUAGAAAGACUUGUAGAUUUUAUGGUAGUUAGUAGAGAAAGUGAUUAGUUAUGAUGAUUUAGAAUUUAUUUGAAAUAGGAAAGGAUCUCAUGAUGGAUAGUUAUUAUAGUAGUAAAAACUAAUCAUAGGUUGUAAAUGAAAGAAUAGACUAACUAAUAAUUUAUAAAUUUAUACUUUAAUUUGGGAAAUCUUAGGGAAAUAGGGACUUAGUGAUGCAUUGAAUUUUGAAGGUAGUUUAAAGGUAUGCCUGGAAAAUUUAGCUAAGUGUUGGAGACUUAGUUUCAUUUUUGACCCCUGAACUUCGAUGAUCUUAUUCUCAACCUUCUCGACCCCGAAAAAUUGGUUUCUAAUUGAAUUCAUGACCAGGGUUGUCGAUAGUUCAUCUCGGGUGAGUUUCAAUUUUUUCAAACGACGUUUUAGGCAUGUUUAGAUGGACAAACUAGUGGACCAACAUGAUAUGGCCACAUUAUGUCGGCUACCGCAUUAGCAGAAGCAACACGGAGCGUCGCUUAUUGCGUCGGGUUGAGCGACACAGUGGGUUGCCAAAUACGUCGGGUCCCAGUUUGGUUUAUAUAAAUUACAGGUCCAGAGAGGUAUUUGGGUCUUUUUCCCCACUUUAAUUUAGCCAAAACGUGGGAUUUAGGUCCCAAAGAAACAAUUUUGCCUCAUAUUUCAUAAUUUCCUCAAAUUGAAAUCAUUCUCUCUCAAGAACAUAACCUUAGCCCCUUCAACCUUUAAGAUCAAUUAGGUGUUCAUCCUUGGGCCCUUUUCACCCUUGAAGCCCAAACACUACUUUUUAAACUUAAGUUAUAAGUUUCACAUGAUUAAAUUGAUUUAUAUCCACAAAUAUAUUGUUAUGUUGAUUUCAAGUUAAGAAUAUAUGUGUGUUCAAGUAGAAUGAACUAAUAUGUAUUUUGAAUGAUGUAAAUCUUAUGUCAAAUCCCUAAGUUGUGAAUUGAAUAGUAUAGUCAUGAUAUUUUCUCAUGUUACUCAUUCCCAUGUAAAAUUUCAUGCCUCGCAUGUGUUUAAUAAAAUAUCUAGAUGAAUGAGUUCUGAACAAUGACUACUUAUUAUGUUUCUAAAGUUGUAGUAUGGUCCCAUUGCCAAUACUAUCGAGGCCUGGGGGUUAUGAAUACCCAAAAUUUAGCUGUUUACUUAGUUUUUAGAAUUUACAGUAUGAAUUCAGUUAUACCGUGAACAGUAUCUUUCAUUCAAGUUAGCAUGGUCAAUUUUGUAUUCAGUUAAGCCUAGUUCAGUCUAAUGAUCAGUGUCAGUUCAGUUGGGAGUAGAAUUUAGCACCGAGCGAACCAAGGGAUAGGGGCAUUCCUAUCAGGUUAGGGUUUGACCUUUAGUAGCAAUUCCUGAAUUACAAAACUAUGUCGCCAGCAUUGGUUGAGAUGCCUUUCUAUCAGUUAGGGUUAACACAUCUCCUGAGUACUCCUGCUAGAUUAGGGUGACUCAUGUGUCCUUUAGGAGAUUAGUUUAGUGGAUCCACAUAACAAUUGUUAUUACCCGUGGCAUGAUAUUGACACCCUUCCAACUGGGGUUACAAGUUGAACCCUAAUUAGCUCAUAUUGGGGCAUGCCGGUUAGAUGAUACCUCCCACAGUCUCAAUUUAGUAUUCAGGAGAGUUAGUUCAAGUUUGCGUAACUAUAGCAUAUAGUACCAGUUACUUAGUUAUCAAUAUUCUAAUACUUCUAUUAUCUCAGCAUCAUAUUUUAUGCUUGGUCAUGCAUUUUCAGUCUUCCCAGUUUUCAUAUAUUUAUAUUCAGUCAUCUUAUGUCAUUUCGUUAUUACCUUAUGCUUAUGAACCCAUGCAUUUCAGCCUUACCUCAUCUAGCAUACCAGUACAUUUAAAGUACUGAUCAUAUACUUAUUUCUUGCACUAUGAUGUCUUACAUCAUAGGUUUGGACGCUCAGGUUACCAACUGUAUUUAGACUUUUAAGUGCAUCAGCAGUAGCAGCAGGGGUGAGUCUUCAUCCUUCGAGGAUAAGUUAUCUUAUAUUUAGUUAUAUCAGUAGUUCAGUUAUUUAGUCAGCCAGAUUUAGUUGGGGGCUUGUCCCAUCAACUCCACAGUCAAUCAGUUUAGAGGCUUGCAGACUAGUACAGACAGUUGGUCAGUUUUUGAUUGUUUUUAUCAGUAUUUCUAGAAUGUUUUUAGACAUUUAAGACUAUGAUUUAGUUUUUAAAACUAUAGCAUUUCUAGUUAAAUUCUGCACAUAUCUCUGUUAUUAUUUUUUAGUAAUCACAGCAGGUAUCAAUUCUUGGGUUAGCAUGUCAUCUUUUGGGGCUAUACACACCAUGUGGCAUCCAGGGUGCAUUCCCAGGGUGUUACAAACUUGGUAUCAGAGCCUAAGAUUUUAAGUUUCCUAGGAAGUAUGAAAGUCGUGUUGAGUAGAGUCUUGUGCAUGGGUGUGUAACGCUCCACACUUAUGGACAAAAGGCUACAAGAAGUUAUAGGAAAAGUUUCCCUUCUUUUAGUAUUCCUGUCGUGUGAAUAAGCAUGUGCUCAAAUUGAAAUCUCUAUCUAAUUCAACUCUUCCUUCCAUUUACACAAUAUGCCUUGCAAAAGGACUAACAGAAGAAGAAAUAGAAACCAGCCAGCACCUUCGCCCAUUCAGAAAGAUCCCCUGAAUGAGCAUGUUUCUCAUACAGAGUUCAAAGCUACAUUCAUCACUCUAUCCCACUCUGUAAAAACUUAAAAUUUUCAUCCAGCUAAUGUUCAGGCCAACCCAAUGGCCAAUACUACCGAAGCUAGGAUUUGGGACUUUACCCGAAUGAAUCCUCUUUCAUUUUUAGGAUCCAAGUAUGAAGAGAAUCCAUAGAAUUUCCUCGACAUGGUGCAGAAGGUAACAGACAUUAUAGAGGUAACUUUUAGCGAGUGAGCUAAAUUGGCUGCUUACCAGCUGGAGGAUGUAGCUCAUACUUGGUUUAAAUAGUGGAAAGGGGAUAAAGGUACAGAUGCAGGGCCUAUAGAACGGGAGGAGUUUGCUUUAACCUUCUUAGAUAGAUUUUUCCCUUUGGAGUUAAGGGAAGACAAGGUGCAAGAGUUCAUAAAUUUGAAACAAGGCAACAUGAGUGUGAAGGAGUGUUCCCUAAAAUUUUCUCAGCUAUCUAGGUAUGCUCCUAAUGUGGUGUCUAAUAACAGGUCUAGAAUGAGUAAGUUUGUUUCUGGUAUGACGGAUAAUAUGGUCAAGGAGUUUAGGACUGUGAUGGUGAUUAAGAAAAUAGACUUUUCUAGGUUAAUGGUUCAUGCUCAGCAGAUUAAAGAGUAGAAGGCUAAGGAGAAAGAAAAAGAUAAUAAGAGGCUAGGACAAGUAAUUUUAACUUUGCUCAGCCGAGGUCGAAGGGUAGCAACCAUCCUUAAUUUCAAAAAAAAUCUUCAGCUCCAGCCCUGUCCUCAACUAGUACGCCUGCACCAAAGUUCAGAAAUGAUAACCACGGUAGGGCGCCAAGCUCUAAGACUUAACAUAGUGUAAAUAGUGAUCGUACAAAUCCCUUUUGUUAGAAAUAUGGUAGAAAAAGUUAGGGAAUGUGCAAAUCCGAUAGUGAUGUAUGUUUUUAGGUAUGGAAAUCCAGGCCGUAGAGUCAGAGAAUGUCCUUUGGCCAGCCCAUAAAGUCAAUUUAGUCAUCUUCUAGUUCCACCCAGUCGCUCGACUCAGUAGGGGGCUACUUCCAGUGCCACCAGUGGGCAGCGCCCAAAUAGGCUAUAUGCACUUCUGUCCCGAUAAGAUCAUGAGAGUUCUCCUGAUGUAGUCACGGGUACGUUAUAAGUCUUUUAUUUGCAUGUUUAUGCUUUACUAGAUCUUGGAACUUCUCUUUCUUUUAUAACCCCUUAUAUAACUUUCAACUUCGGAGUCAGUCUCAAAACCUUAAUCAAUCCUUUCUCAGUAUCAACCUCAGUGGGUAAGUCCAUCACAGCCCGACGGGUAUACCGAAACUGCCUGGUUACGGUAUCUCAGAAAGUUACUUCAGUAGACCUUGUAGAGUUAGAGAUGAUGGAUUUGUAUGUCAUUCUCAGCAUGGAUUAUCUCCAUUCAUGCUAUGCUUCAGUGGAUUGUAGGAACAAAGUUAUCUAUUACCAGUUCUCAAAUGAACAAGUCUUUGAAUGGAGGGGAGCACUACAGCGCUUAGGGGUCAAAUUAUUUUGUAUCUUAGAGCGAGAAAAAUGAUAUCCAAGGGGUGUAUCUACCAUCUUGUGAAAGUCAAAGACUCUAGUUCUGAAGCUCCCAAUCUUGAGUCAGUUCCAUUAGCAAGGGAAUUUCUAGAUGUGUUCCCUGAAGACCUUUCCGAAAUUUCUCCUAAAAGGGAAUUCGAUUUUGGGAUACACCUUCUUCUAGAUAUCCAACUUAUCUCUAUUCCGCUAUGUAGAAUGGUUCCAGGUUAACUUAAAGAGCUAAAAGAACAGUUAAAUGACCUCCUAAAUAAGGGAUUCAUUAGGCCAGUGUUUCCCUAUGGGGCGCUCCAAUCCUUUUCAUGCGAAAGAAAGAUGGUUCUCAUAGAACAAAUAUGCAUUCUCCAGAAUCAAAGACUUGUUCGACUAACUUUAGGGUGCCAAUUACUUUUAUAAUAUAGAUCUCAGAUCCAUCUAUUACCAGCUCAGAGUCAGAGAAUGUGAAAUUCCAAAAACAUCUUUCAGAACUCGGUAUGGUCACUUCAAGUUUCUAGUUAUGUAUUUUGGUCUCAAAAAUGCCCCAAAAACCUUUAUGGACUUGAUGAACUGAGUGUUCAAAUAGUACUUGUACAUGUUCAUCAUAGUCUUCAUCGAUGACAUUCUUGUCUACUUCCAUAACGAAAAUGAUCAUGCCAACUAUCUCAAAAUUAUACUACAGACUCUUAGAGCCCAUCUGUAGUUCGCCAAAUUCAGUAAGUGCGAAUUUUUUCUAAGUUCAACAACUUUUAUUGGCCAUAUUAUUUUCGGUAAUGGCAUUAGAGUUGAUUUUCAAAAGACCGAAGUUGUGAGAAACUAUCCCAGACACAUCUAUUCUUCAGAUAUUAGGAGUUUCUUGGGUUUAGCUGGCUAUUAACGACGGUUUGUUAAAGACUUUUCAUCUUUUGCAUCCCUCAUGUCUAGAUUGACUUAGAAGAAAGUCAAGUUUUAGUGGUCAGAUUCUUGUGAGAAGAGUUUUUUAAUCAGGAUUUGAAGACUCGACUCACCACAACCCCAGUUUUUAUGCUGCCAGAUGGUUCAGAUUGGUUUGUUUUGUACUAUGAUGCUUUCAUAGUUGGUUCGGGGUGUGUUUUGAUAUACAAGAGUAAGCUCAUAGCCUAUGCCUCUAGACAGGCUAAGCCCUAUGAGAAGAAUUACCCUACCCAUGAUCUUGAGUUAGCAACUAUUGUGUCUGCCCUGAAGAUUUGGAGGCACUAUUUGUAUAGGGUGAAUAUAGAUGUGUUCACGGAUCACAAAAGCUUGCAGUACAAGUUCUCGCAGAAAGAUUUAAAUCUUCAUCAGAGAAGGUGUUUAGAAUUCCUAAUAGACUGGGACAUGAGUGUUUUGUAUCAUUUGGGUAAGUCCAAUGUAGUGGAGAAUACCCUCAGUAGAUUGGCUAUGGGUAGUGUUGCUCACGUUAAGAAUGAUAGAAAGAAGUUAGUUUAGGAGGUUCAUCAGCUCACCAGAUUAAGUAUUCACUUGAUAGUUUGGUAUCAUCUUUGGUUGCCGAAGUGAUAGAAAAUUAUGAUAUGGAUUCAAGUUUGGUUGGAUUGAAAGAGUCUGUUAGAGAUCAAAAAGUAGAGGCUUUCUCUUAAGGAGGAGAUGGUGUGUUGCGUUGUCAGAGUAGACUAUGUGUGCCGUGUGUAGAUAAUUUGAGAUUGAAGAUUCUUGUUAAAGCGCAUGGUGUGCAUUACUCUAUUCAUCCAGGGUCCACUAAGAUGUACCACGAUUUGCGGGAAAUGUAUUGGUGGAGUGGGAUGAAGAGGGACAUUGCAAAGUUUGUAGCUAAGAUCUCUACGUGUCAACAGGUUAAGGUUGAACACCAAACGCCUAGUUGUUCUAUCGAAGAGUUUAAUAUUCCCACUUGAAAGUGGGAGGAAGUGAACAUAGACUUUGUGAUGGGUUUGUCUCGUACUCAUUAUCAGCAUAAUUCGAUUUGGGUCAUUGUGGACAGGAUGACCAAAUUAGCUCAUUUCUUGCUAGUUCAUACUUCUUAUUCAGCUGAGGACUAUGCCAAGAUCUAUAUUAGAGAGCUGGUUAGGUUGCAUGGUGUUCCGUUGUCCAUCAUUUCUGUCGAGGUACUCAGUUUACCUGUCACUUUUGGAAAGCUUUCCAGAAGGGUCUGGGUACCUAAGUUCACCUCAGUACAGCCUUUCACCCUAAGAUAGAUGAUCAAGUAGAGAGGACCAUUCAUACCCUAAAGGAUACAUUAAUAGCAUGUGUCAUUGACUUUAAGGGUAAUUGGGAUGAUCACUUACCUUUGAUUGAGUUUGCGUAAUAUAACAAUUAUCAUUAUAGCAUUCAGAUGGCUCCGUUUGAGGCUCUUUAUAGGAGGAGAUGUUGAUCUCUAAUUGGUUGGUUUGAGGUAGGUGAGAUCACUUUGGUAGGGCCUGACUCAGUGUUUGAUGCUUUAGAUAAAGUCCAGUUGAUCAGGGAGAGGCUUAAGACAACCCCAAGCGGACAGACUUAGUUUACUUAAAAAUCUCUCCCAUGAAGGGAGUAAAGAGGUUUGGUAAGAAAGGAAAGCUUAGUCCUCGAUAUGUUGGACCUUACAAAAUCCUAAGUCAUUUCACAAAGGUAUCCUAUGCGCUUGAUUUUCCUGCAUACUUAGCAUCAGUGCAUCCCAGUAUUUCAGGUCUCAGUGUUUUGCGAGAAAUUUUGACUUUUGAAAGAGAGUCACCACUUAAUUUUGAAAAGGAAUUAAGAAACCUUUAUAAAUACUUUAAAAGAUUCAAAAUAGAAAAAUCAUUUUAAGUCAGAAAUUCUAGAUAAGCGGUUCCUAUUAACAUUUUAGGAAGGUGUUAGGCACCUAAAACGUCCGCUAACUUGCAGUUAUCCGGAAUGUUUGAAAACGUCUUUUGACUAACUUUAGAAAAUAGAUUGGUUUUUGAAAAGAAAGUGAUUUUAGAAAUAUUUUGGUGUUUAUGCAAAACCAGUUUUUAGCGACUUAGUUAGGGAUUUUAACUAAGUUCGCAAGAAAACACAUAAUCUAGAUAAGGACUUGAGCUAUUAGGCCCAAAUCGACAACCCUAUCCUAAUCUAGAUAUUGGGCUUUCAGCCCGUCUUCCACCUGUCCUAAUUCUAUCUUUUCGAGCCCUUAGCUCGAAUCUUGCUCCACCUAUAUUGAAUACAACUUUGGCUUCGUGGCCCGAAUGAAUAAAAUAAAGAAACAAGACAACAAAGAAAUGAAUGCAUAAAGGCAACGCUGAAUAACUAGGCAAAUAAAUGAGACUUUUAAGUCUCUUAGCCACUUCGAAUAUGGGAUUUCAACCCAUUCUUUUUCCUUCGAUUCUUCGUGUCCAUAUUCUAUGUAACUGAAUUGAGAUUUUCCUUCGGAAUCAACUCGGGGUUAUUGGGCCUCAAUAGCCCAAAUAGACAUGCAAAGGAAAAAGAGUCCACAUGCAAAAGAAAGGCGAAGUAAUUAAUGAGUGUUCAAAGAUAAAUACUUAAAGAUAAAUGACAUCAUUAAAAGAGCAUUCUCACACGUCCAGACAAUAGCAAGUAAUGACAUGAAAAUGAUCCAUCUUAUUCAAUGAAAGGCAGUUAAUCUACUCUCUAAGCUAGAACAGUAGGAAUAAAACAAUCAUAACAAUAGUAAUAAUAACACAACGGGCAAGUGUGAAUGACUAGAGCCAUGCGACAUUCGAUAAUAACCCAAUAAGAUGCCUAUAAGCCAUUCCAGAGUUCAAAAUUUAAACUUUUAAAGUCUCGUGAAAAUUAAAAUUAUAGAGAUAUAGUUCUUAUACACUUUAACAUGAUACCAUCAGAGGGACAGAGCAGCGGUGACAACCACAAGUUAAGGAAAAAGGAAAAAAAAUUCUAUUCGUGAUCAAAUCUAGACUCCAGUCCCUUUUUUACUACUCAUGGUUGCGACCCAUAAAAGAAAAAGACCCUCCAUUUUAAGUACCAACAAAUUCACACAUCAGAUUUCCCUUUAUCAAUGCUAGUAUGCAACUACACCAAAUAUUAAUUCUAGCUGGACAGAUCUUGAAACAAGGAUCAAAUUCCAUCAAAGUGAUGAAAAGUAAUAAUGUGUGGGUCACAUAUUCACAAUCAGAACAUGGUGGUGCGCGACUAGAAUCAAAUGGGAGUAAAUGAAACAAUCCAAACAAUUACUUUAAGAAUUUUAACAUAGAGGCUGCUCUCAUCAAAACCCUAUUAAAACUGCGACUACAUCAAACUAUUCCCAACAAAACAAAGUUAUGAUUACAACAACACCAGCUAUGCAUAAAAGAGGCGAAGGAGAAAAAAGAUCAAAUUAGGAGGUAAACGGAGUGUAUUUACCUCUUUAAGGGCAGCAAUCAGACGACGAGCUAUCAGUAAGAAUUGUCGCUAUCGAAAUCUCGCGAUGUCGAUUACCAACAGAGCGUCUCUUUGCUUUGCCCUCUUAGAUAUUUUGAAAACCACUUUCAACUAAAAAAUUCAACUUGAAUUUAGAACUCUCGAAUUUUCUUUCAGUUUCACUAAAAAUUACUUCGAACCUUCGAACUUAAGAAAUUUCGAUACCUCAAGUUUUCAGCCUAAACUUUCAAACCCUUUAAAGAAAAGAAAGAAAAAUUUUUGAACCUCCCAAAAUUUUCGAACACCACCUGAUUUUCCCUACCCAAAAAGAGAAAAAGCCCCCCCCCCCCCCCCCCCCCGCCCCCCCACCCGGCUUGUUUUAAGAAGAUAGAAUUGGGUAUUUUAGAGAUUUUUGAAAUAGGACAUCUUGAAUUCAAAACCAAAAAGAUCCUCCAGCCCAUCAAUCGUAUUUUGAAAUUGAGAAAAUUUAGGGGAAUGGAUUUUCUUCAACCAAUGGAAAAGGGGCACAUGCUUACCUUCAUGGUACAAUUCUAACAACCGAGAACGGAUUCUUGAUAGCUAGGUUUUUUUGGAAUGUUGAGGGCUGCCACCUAGACUCUUUCUAGAAGAUUCUUGGGCAGGAUUUUUGCUGAAACUAUUGCUGUUGUCGUAACCUUGGGCUGUUUCAUGAUGAACUCAGGUCAGUUCGAGCAUGGGUAGCCAGAUUUUGGGUUGGGGUUAUCGAAUUCGGGUCGAAGAUGGGUUGGGGGUAUUGAGAUUGCUGGUGUUGUCAUGGAUUAUUGUUUUCCACUGUUUGGGUGCUGCUAUUAAAGAAGAAGGAGACAAGUGGGCCGGAUCAGUGUGAAUUGUUGGGCUGGUUGUUGUUUUGUUGCUGAAGAAAAUUGGGCCUGAGGCGGUUGGGUUUUGGAAAUGGGUUUAAAAUUGGGAUUGGGGUUAAUUAGGUUAUGGGAAUUAGGGAUUUGACCAAUUCAUUUAAUUUUUGGCCAAUUUGAUUUCAAUUAAAGUCAAAUAUAAUAGAUGGACUAAAUCAAAUCAAAAUUCGAUACGAAUUAACACAUUGUUUAAUCAUGAGCUUCUUGAUUCGAUAAAAUUAAACAAGUAUUUCUCCAAAUAGAUUAUUUGUAAGAAUAAAUUAUAUUUAAAUCAAGAUUUAAUUAUUUAUAUUUAUUUUCCAAAUAAUCCUUGAUUUAAAGUCCAAUUUUGAUGUAAAUGUUUAUUUAAAUGACUUCAUUUAUACAAUCCCGUAUAAUCAAAUACGAAAUAUAUAAUUAUCACUUAAAUGACAAAUUUAACCCAAAUGCAUAUUUUAAAAUGCGUUUAUUUGGAAAAAUAAUUGUUGCGAUUUUAUUUGAAAAUCGAAGAAACCCGAGAUUAAACGUAGCUGUGGAGAGCAAAAAUUAGGUGUCAACAAAUGCCCCCUCCCUUUAGGUAGGAUGGAUGCAAGUAAUCCUGGGCAAAGGGAGGCUGACGUUCCUAAUUUUUGUCCGACCACAAAUUCGUAUCUAAGAGAGGUUGGUUUUUCGCACGAGUUUCAUGGAGUUAUGGCCGAACCUUGUUAUCAGGUUUCCUACAUAUCUCAGGUUUCAUGAGAAUUCAGGCCACUUGUAGUUCAUAAAUCUUGAUUUUGAGCAUGAUUUUCAAAAGAUUCACAAGUUAUCUCGAUUUUAGAAUUUUUGAUAAAACCGAGAAAACUGGGAGAUAAAGGGAUUAGGAGGGAGGUUGGUAUGCAGUCGAGUUUUCUACAUAGAUCCCUGCCUACAUAUCCCCAAGACUCGGGGAAUUAGACUGCUUGUAGUUCAACUCAACCGGUAGAAAAGCUAGUCUUUUAUUUCAGACAAUCUUUGGCUUAAGAUGGGUGACCAGUCAAUCGAGUUGUAGCAAAGAGGCUUGUAACCUCUUAACAAUGAACGUGGAUCUCUUCACAUCCAUAGGUAAGGACUUACUCGGACGUAAUUUCCAAAACUCUAAGUGUGUUGCCACCCGAAUUUGAAAGGAAGAGAAAUUUCCCCUCGAUAUGAGUUAAGAAAAAUCCCAGAGGUAAAGCAGAGACCAUAAUAUCCAAAAAUACCCACAUGCCUUCUAAUAGAGGAGUGGUUGGAUGGUGGUGGUUAUCAUCAUUUAGCUCGCAUCUAGAGAGUUUGACAUCCCUCUCCAGACUAUAUCCCGUUUUGCUGCUGAGAAAAAGUUCCACAUUGUGCUGCGUCCUUUUUGGAGUCGUCCGCACCUGUGGUUUUGAUUUGAGAUUUUCAACCUUUCAGAUGCUCUCGAUAAUUUCUCACACAAAAAUCAUUAGUGAUAAGCUCAAUUCACGAAAAAAGUAGAUAGUAUUUUACUAUAUCUCUGCGUGAGUUGUUGUCUAAAAAGUGAAGUCAUCCUUUCUUGUACCUUUAGAGUGGGGUGGCCCUUUUGGACACCAGAGAUACUUUUGCAGAACGGUCCCUACAACCGUGUAAUCUUAUGCUGGUGUGUCAACCCUUUUGGUUACCUGUAUUACUUGUUGUAUGUGGAAUGAUGAACUCUCCGGUUAUAGCCGAUGAUUGAUUUAUAAAUUUUCCUUAAAUUGUCAAUCUUUGGAUAAUCUUGCGCAUUAUUUGAUUUUUGGCUAUGAGGUGACUUACAGAUAUCCUUUGAAUUGCUAGCUUUUAGGCAAUCCUGCACAUUAUCCGACUUUGGAUAAGAGAUGGCUUACAUUUAUCUCUCCAAUCGCUAGUUUUCAGGUGUUCCUGCAGAUUAUCCGACCUUGGAUACAAUAUGACUUAUAGAUAAUCCCUCAAAUUGAUAGUCUUUGGGUAAUCCUGCAUAUAAUCGAUCUUGGAUAUGACGUAGCUUAUAGAGAACCCUUGGACGUAUCAAUUUAACAGUCUUGCUAUCCUCCGCUAAAGAUUUAGUUGCGACUUACGGAUAACCUUUAACUAUCAACUUUUGGGCGAUCUUGCACACCAUCCGGUUAGGAUGUUGUUGUGGAUUACGGAUGACCUACAAGCUAUCAACUCCUAGGUGAUCUUUCACACUAUCCUAUUUCAAAUAAUGUGACUUAUAGGUGACCCUCAAAUUGUCAAUUUCCAGGAAACCUUAUAUAUCAUUCAUCCUUGGAUAGCGACUUAAAGGUGUCCCUUCAAAUCGUGUACCCUCGAUGCAUUCAUAUGCUGAUUCAUGAAAUGAUGAGAUAUCCUCAACACCAAUGUUUCUAUCUAGCAUGUCAACAAAUAUUGAAUGCCUACUGGGGUAAUGGUAUGAGAUGGCCUUUGCAGCAAUGAUAUGUAAUGGCCUUUGGGGGAAUGAUAUGCAAUAACCCUUGUGGCGAUGAUAUGAAAUAACCCUUGUGGUGAUGAUAUCCAAUAGCCCUUGUGGUGGUGAUAUGCCAUAGCCCUUGUGGGGAUGAUAUGCAAUAGCCCUUGUGGCGAUGAUAUGCAAUAGCCUUUGGGGAAAUGAUAAAAAUAAUUUUACCUGAAUUCAUCUGUCAUCGUCUUGCUUUCUAUAUGUACCUGUGCACAAGGUAGGCGAUUAGUAGACAUAAAGUCGCUUUUGCUACUAUUUUUAGGAAACUUCUAAAUACAAUAUAUGUAAAGAAGACUAGGCGUUUUUGAUUGUCGCCUAUGAUCUCAAGAAAUGAGAUGGACAAAUCAAAAGGUCCUCAAUAAAUAGUUGUUAACCCAUUUUUAGGGCUACCCUAAAAUACAAUUCUUGGGCAUUAAUGAUCUGUUGUGGCUCCCAAUUUUCUCGGGGAUUUUUUAAAGAGACUCUCAUUUUUGUGUAUUGAUCCCUGCAUCUACAGAAAAAUAAUUAGUUUGAAUGAAAUUACUCCAUGUUGACCUUCUUCGAUCCUCAAUUUGCUCCUUGCCAUCUCUCAGGCAUUCCGUCAUGUUGGGACUUCCACCCUGACACUCCAUCCCAAAUGAUGUCUAGGAAAGUACUAAAUAAGUGAGUCGUAAGAUUUUUGAAAAUAUACUUAAAUUUUUGAAAAUAAUUUUGAAAACUUCUAUAAAACUUUAGAAAAUCUCUGCCAGUCAUGUCAUGUACUAGCUCAAGGAAUGUCCUCCGCAUGGUUUUGACUAUGUUCGACGGAUGGUUUCCACAACUCAUGAUCAUUAUUGGAGGGUUUAUUCAAGUAGUUCUAUCAUAGCAAAAAAUUGAGCCUACCCAGACUUUGUUACAGUUGGUGGCUUCCAAAGCUUUAACCUCUGGUGUUGGGGAAUUUGGAAUAUUUUUCGGCAUUUGGUGGAAAUUUUGAGGUCUUCCACAAUAUUUCUGUCUCAGUUUAAAGUUGUUUGAGAUGAUACCAAUCCAAGUGGAUCUGAAGUCUUUGCUGAUCUUCAUUCUCUUUGUUGGAUGUCGAUCUUAUCUUCUGAAUUUUUGAGAUUCCUUCUCGAAAAUUCUUCCCCAGCUUCCAUUUCCUGAGGUUAUACAACAAUCCUAUAUUUGAUGUCGAUUCAUCCACACUUUCAUUCCUUGUAGAGGAAGGCUAACUGCAUAUGACCGAGCUGUAGGGGCGCCUACGUAUCCCAUUGAAGCAGGAAUCAGGUCAAACAUAGUUCAGGACUACACUAGGGAUAUAUAUAGAAAAUCUAAUGGGUUGACUGAAGCCAACAUAGGCCACCUACGUAUCUCUUUUGUUGGGAAUUCAGGUCAUCACAUAGUUCAUACAUAAGAGGAAAGGAUAAAUCAUCCUAAGGGGUUGACUGAAGCUGACAUAGGAGGCCUUCGUAUCUCAUUAUUGAGAAUUCAGGUCAAACGUAGUUCGCACAUAGAGGGAAAGGGUAAAUUUUCCUAAGGGGUUGACCGAAGCCGACAUAGGCCACCUACGUAUCCCUUUCUUGGGAAUUCAGGUCAAACAUAGUUCGUACAUAAGAGGAAAGGACUCUAGAUAGUCACACGCUAGAAGACAACAUUAUUACAAAGGUGAUUACAAGUAAAUUAACUAAAGAAACACAAAAGCUAGAAUGUCCUUCAAACAUAAUAUCUCUUUACCGCAUCGAAAUUGAUUGGUUUGGUCCACUUCGUGCCAUCCAUCUCAAACAAAAUUAGAGCUCCUCCAGAUAGCACCUUGCGAACUAUGUAUGACCCUUGCCAUUUUAGAGCGAACUUGCCCUUGUACCUCUCCGGUGAGGGCAUAUUCAUUUGAGAACCAGUUGCCCCACUUCAAAUGCCCGAGCGUUCACCUUCUUGUUAAAGGCACGAAUCAUCCUGUGUUGGUACAACUGACCAUGGCAUACAACGACCAUUCUCUUUUCAUCAAUCAAUAUGAGUUGUUCAUAGCGAGCAUGACCCAUUCUUCGUUACUUAGUCCAGCUUUCUAAAUAAUCCUUAGGGAAGGUAUUUCAACUUCAGCAGGUAUUACAGCUUCAUUCCCAUACACAAGUAAAUAGGGGGUCACCCCGGUGGAGGUUCGAACUACUGUGCGAUACCUUAGUAAAGCGUAAGGUAACAUCUCAUGCCAUGAUCUAUCAUUUUUGACCAUCUUUCUCAAGAUCUUCUUGAUACUCUUAUUGGCUGCUUCCACAGCUCUAUUCAUUUGGGGACGAUAUGCAGUCAAGUUGCGAUGGACAAUCUUGAACUGAUCACAAAUUUCUUUCAUCAAGUGACUGUUCAAGUUUGCCCCAUUAUCAGUAAUGAUCGAUUUCGGUACUCCGAAUCAGCAAAUCAAGUUAUUCCUGACAAAAUCCGCAACCACUUUCUUAGUGACAUCUCUGUACGAAGUCGCUUUGACCCACUUAGUGAAAUAAUAUAUGGCAACCAAAAUAAAUGAAUGCCCAUUCGAUGUUAAUGGCUUUAUUGGUCCGAUGACAUCCGUGCCCCAAGCUACAAAAGGACAAGGCGAAUUCAUUGUAUAAAGCUCGUGUGGAGACAUUCAAAUCAGAUCUCCGUGUAUUUGAUAUUUUGGACAUCUCUGCACAUACUUACUACAAUCAUUUUCCAUAGUCAUGCAGAAGUAAUCGGUUCUCAGGAUCUUUCUAGUAAGGACAAACCCAUUCAUAUGGGGGCCACAAAUUCCAGCGUGUAACUCUUUUAUCAAUUUAUUGGCUUCCGCAGCAUCGACGCAUCUUAGGAAUCCCAAAUCAGGAGUCCUCCUAAAAAGAAUUUCCCCACUUGGAAAGUAAUUCCUUGCCAAACGCCGGAUUGUCUUCUUUUGGUUGUUACUAGCCUAUUCAGGAUAUAUUCCAGAUUACAAAUACCUUUUAAUGUCAUAGUACCAAGGCUUUCCAUUAGGCUCCUCUUCUACGUGUACACAAUGCACGGGUUGCUCCUUCAAGCUUAUUUCCAAAGGAUCAAUGUAACUUUGAUCCGGGUGCUAAAUCAUGGAAGAUAUAGUGGCCAAAGCAUCAGCAAACUCAUUUUGUAUCCGUGGGAUAUGCCUAAAAUCAACUUCCUUGAAUCUUUCACAUAAUUCUUGCACCAGCUCCACAUAAGGAGUGAUCUUGGGAUUUUUUACCCCAUUCUCCCCGUACCUGGUGAAUCAGCAAAUCUGAAACCCCAAUGACUAACAAUUCACGAACACCCAUAUCAAGUGCCAAUUUGAGACUCAGAAUGCAAGCCUCAUAUUUAUCCAUGUUAUUGGUGCAUGGAAAACGUAACUUAGCAGUUACCAGAUAAUGCUGGCCCAUUUCUGACACCAAAACUGCUCCAAUUUCUGAACCUUUGAAGUUGACCGCCUCAUCAAAAAAUAGCCUCCAUCCGGGGUAAAUCUCUGUAAUGUCUUCUCCUACGAACAAAACUUCCUCAUCUGGAAAGUAAUUUCGAAGUGGCUCAUAUUCCUCAUCAACUGGGAUCUCUACCAAACGAUCUGCUAAGGAUUGCCCCUUGAUUGCUUUUUGGGUUACAUACACAAUAUCAAACUCACUCAGCAAUAUUUUCCACUUAGCUAGCUUUCCUGUAGGCAUGGCCUUUUAGAAAAUAUACUUUAAUGGAUCUAUUCUCAAGAUGAGGUAUGUUGUGUAGGACGACAGAUAAUGCCUCAACUUUUGUGCCAUCUAAGUCAAAGCACAACAUGUCCUUUCUAUAAGAGUGUAAUGGGCUUCAUAUGGCGUGAACUUUUUACUCAAGUAGUAAAUGGCUUUCUCUCUCUUACCGAUCUUAUCAUGUUAUUCGAGGACACAUCCAAAAGCAUUUUUUAAGACUGACAGGUAAAGCAAUAAUGGAAUUCCUUCUCUUAGUGGAACCAAAACUGGCGGUGCAGACAAGUAUUCCUUGAUGCGGUUAAAAGCUCUCUGACAUUCUUCUGUCCACUCAUUCAAUGGAUUUUUCUUUAACAUCUUGAGAAUUGACUCGCAUAUGACUGUUGAUUGUGCGAUGAAUAUGCUAAUGUAAUUCAAACGACCCAUGGAACUCAUAAUUUCCUUCUUAGUUUUUGGCGGUGGCAAAUCCUAAAUUGUCUUGAUUUUGGAUGGGUCUAACUCAAUGCCUCUUCUACUGACUAUGAACCCCAGCAACUUCCCUGAUGGCAUACCAAAAGCAUACUUCGCAGGGUUUAAUUUCAAACUGUUCCCUCUUAAUCUGUUGAAAAAUUUCUCCAGAUAAGUCAGAUGAUCCAAACUCUCACGGGAUUUGAUAAUUACAUCAUCCACGUACACCUCAAUCUCUUUAUGGAUCAUAUCAUGAAAAAUCAUCGUCAUAGCCCUCAUAUAUGUUGCACCCGCAUUUUUGAGACCAAACGGCAUUACCCUGUAAUGAUAAACGCCCCAGAGUGUAAUAAAAGCCAUUUUUUCUGCAUCUUCCUCAUCCAUCAAUAUCUGAUGAUACCCGACAAAACAAUCAACGAAUGACUGCAUUUUAUGUUUUGCACAAUUAUCGAUGAGAAUAUGGAUGUUGGGCAAUGGAAAAUUAUCUUUAGUACUGGCUCUAUUUAAGUCUCUAUAGUCAACACAAAUUCGAAUCUCGCCAUCCUUCUUCGGCACAGGGACGAUGUUGGCCAACCACGUCGGAUAUUUUGUGACCUCGACAACAUUAGAAUGUAUUUGUUUUGUCACUUCUUCCUUGAUCUUUCGACUUAAAUCUGGCUUGAAUUUUUGCAUUUUUUACUUGACUGGAUCAAAAUCUGGAUUUAUUGGCAACUUAUGUGACACAAUGCUGGUGCUCAACCCUGGCAUAUCAUCAUAGGACCAAGCAAACACGCCGAUGUAUUCCUGCAACAGGUGGAUGAGCUCUUUCCUUUGUGGCGCCGCCAGGUGGAUACUUACACUUGUCACUUUGAUUUCAUCGUGAUCUCCCAAGUUGAAUGUUUCAGUUUCCUCCAGAUUAGGUUUUUCGUGAUUCUCAAAUUCCUCCAUAUCUUCGACUAAUCAUCCUUGUCAUCGUCUUUCCAAUCAUCAUUGUUCCCCUCAUUUUGUUCAUUCAAGCUUUGACAUGACACGACAUUGGCAGAUUUUAAGCUACUGUUACUGUACUAGACAAACAAACCAAGUUAGAUGAUAACAAGAUAAUAACAAAAUAUAUGACUAGGAGUGUUUUAGAAACAAUAGAAUUUUCUAAAUAAAUGAAGUCCUUUUCAUUGAAAUUUGGGAGAUAAUUACAAAAUCGUGGCUUAUGACUUGCAAAAAUACAGGUCUGUGCCUUUUUGAAAGUAGUAAGAUAUGAAAAGGAAGUUUUGAGAUAAAAAAGGUGGAUCGCAGUGCCUCUUCCAGAUCAUCACCGAUUUUAAAAACUAUCAGUAAUUGCCCUUUCAUCUACCACGAUGGGCGAUGGGUUAAGAGUGGAGCGGAGGUCCAAUUUUACAAGGCCUCCCCUGGCGCAAUCUGCUUCACCCCGCUGGACUUUGGGAGAUCUUCUGGUACAGUAUUGCAUCCUUUGAACAAAUUUGCUAUCCCAUCCCCAAUACUAUCAUUAUCUGAUAUCUCUUGUACAGGAAAUGACUGGAACAGGAGUGGCAAGGACCCAAACAGACUUUUCUCUAGCUCAUCCUCAACCCUAUCCUUCCUGGUAGGCUGAUAUCCUAACGUAUACUUAAAGCCUCUCUCUGGGAUCCCGAUAGGAUCGAUAAUUCCUUGUAAAUUCUUACCCAAGCCUCGACCAUGUUCGAACCCAUUUCUUAACAUCACCGUUGCAUUCAUUUUAUAGACAGAAGGCAUUGGUAAUUUGGGUGUCGAAUCUCUGUCUACAGCAUUUACACUUUCCACAAUAUAGAAACUACUGCCCUUUGGAACAUCUUUAAUUACCGACACAUAACCAUUGGGAUGGUCCGCUUGACUUUUUUCUCCUUGGAUGACUACUUCAUGAUCUUCCCAAAUAAACUUCAAUAAUAGAUGAAGGGGUGAUGAAACUGCCUUUGCAUCGUGUAUCUAUGGUCUUCCCAAGAGCAAGUUGUAGCUAGGAUGAAUAUCCAUUACAUAAAACUUAGUUUUGAACUCAGCAGGCCCCAUUUAGAUGUGCAAAUCAAUCUCUCCUAUGGUAUCUCUCUGCCCUCCAUCGAAUGCUCUCACAUUUAUGUGGCUUUGACGAAUUUUCCCCAGAUCAUAACCCAUUUGAACCAGCGUAAAGAGGGAAAAAUAUUCACACCAGAUCUAUCAUCUAUUAAUACUUGAUUAAUUGCAUAAUCUCAACAAAUAACGAUGACAUGCAUGGCUUUGUUGUGUAUCGCCCCUUUAAACGACAACUCUUCAUCACUGAAUGAUAUGCGAUGAUUUCCCACAUUGUUCCCUAUCAUAGCAGCCAGGUUCUCAACACUCGUUCCUAUGGAAAUAUACGCUUCAUCCAAGACCUUCGAUAAAGCCUAUCGAUAGUAUUGUGAACUCAUUAAUAGUGCCAAGACAGAGAUUUGGGCUGGCGUUUUCUCCAAGUAUUUGAUAAUUGAGUAAUCCUUUGGUUGCAUACGCCUCCAAAAUUCCUCAGCCUCUCCUUCAGUGAUUGGCCGUUUCUGUGAAUCUUUUUUUUGGUCAAUUCGUCAAGGAUGUAACAUCGUCCCGAUCGCGUCAUCCCUUGGGCAGCAAUGGUUUGCAUAGUAAAUUCCUUUCUUGGAGGGUGGCGUACACUUGAGUCGGGUCUGUAAUCACUAUAAAUAGGGUUUUCUCGCUGAUACUUAAGGCAGCCAUAGCCUUCUCUAUAUUUCCUACCUAUUUCGCUCUUUUGUGCUUUUCGGAGUUUACCUGGGUAAUGGUCUUGCCAGAUUCCCAUUUGCUCUCUAUCUCAAUCAUGUUGACUGUAGAUCCCCCAUGGUUGGGCAAUGGAUUACUGCUAACAUUUGGAGUAGGUUUCUGGAGCGCGAUGACCUUUUGAUCGAUUAAAUCCUGGAUCUUGUGUUUCAAGUGGACACAAUCCUCUGUAUUGUGCCCUGUUGCCUCCGAAUGAUAGGCACAAUGUUGACUUGCAUUAAAAAAUUGAGAGUUGAGAUUGACACUCUUUGACUGUAUUAGUUGCAAAUUACCGGUAUUCCUCAAUCUGUCAAAUAAUUGGGUAUGACUUUCAGCUAGUGAGGUGAAGUUAUGGGGAGGUUUCUUUUCUUAGUUCGAACGUUGGGGGUUAUACUGGCUUAGGUUUGUAGGAGGGGGUACUUGGUGAUAAUUUGGAGGCGUUUGGAAAUUUGUUCGGUUAUUUGGAGGAGUGGUUUGGAAAUGAGACUUAUAAUUUGGAGGUGGAACUGGGUAUUGGGGAAAGGUGUUUGGAUGUGGAGCUUGGUAUAAGAAUUGGAUGUUUGGGAGUGGAGUUUGGUACUGGGGGUGGGCGUAAAAUGCGUGCGAAGGUUAGGUGACGGCGGGGAAGAUAAAACAUUUCUAGAGUUGAACCGCUGUUUUGAUUUUGUAAUAGAAUUAGAAGAAACCAUACCUACCUCUUCCUUCUUCUUCUUAGAAAACAUGGCAGUUCCAGACGAUGUCGGGGUUUUGGCAAUUUUCCCUAUUCGAAUACCUUCUUAUAAUAAUUCUCCUAUUUUUACCAAAUUCGAAAAGGUUGCUUUGACAGUGGACAACAUCCUGGUAUAAUAUUCUCCUUCUUGAGUGUGAGAGAAAACGAAUACCAUUUCCUUCUCGGACAUGGGGGGUUGCACUUUGGCAGCUUCUUUUCUCCAACGAAAAGCAUAGUCUCGAAAACUCUCAACGCUUUUUUGUUUGAUCCGAUUUAGUGAAUACCGGUCAGGGACUAUUUCAAUGUUGAAUGCGAACCGGUCAAGGAAACCCUUGGCCAAUGCUUUCCAACCAGUCAACUUUUUCAUCUCCUGAUACAUGAACCACUCCAAGGCUUCAUCAUUCAAACUUCGACUGAAUAGGCGCAUCAAUAGCGCCUCGUUCUUUCCUAUCCCUACCAGUUGCUCACAGUACCUUCUUAGAUGGGACAUUGGAUUUCCGGUACCGUUAAACAUCUCAAACUUAGGGACUUUGUACCCUUCUGGUAGAUCUACUCUCGGGUGAACACAUAAAUCUUCAUACCCCACCGCCAUGGUCCUUGUCUCCAUGAGACUUUUUGAUCCUUAUGAUCUCUUCCUUCAUAGAUAGUAAAUUCUUUUUAUGUUGGGCCCUCCAUUCUUUCUCCUUCUCCUCGUAAUGGCCCAUCUUGGGGUUAGAAAGGGGCUCAUAGAUAUCAAGGGAUAUGAUGCCUUGAGGGGGAUUUGGAAGAAAGGCCUAAUUUUGCGAAAUGAAGGAACUUGGUUGGUAAGUGAGGAGGAUGUUUUGGAAAUUGGAAAGGUUCCGUGGACUUUGUAAGUAGUUUGGCGGAAAAGGAUUUUGCGGAUUUGGAAAUGAAUUUGGUGGAUUCGAAAGUAGGUUUGACGUAUUUUGUAGAUUUGGGAAUGAAUCUUGCGGAUUUGGAAAUGCGUUUUGUUGAUUUGAGAAUGUGUUUUGAGGAUUUGGGAAUGGAUUCGAAGAUGGGUUCUGUGGGGUUACGAACAAAUUUUAUGGAUGGUAGGCAUCUGGAUUAUUUUCACGAUUAGUAUUUUGGACAAAUGGAGGAGCGGAGCUGGAUGAUACGUUAGUUGGCUGGUGCCCGAGAAUAGGGGUGCUGAGGGGAGGGAUUUGGAAUGGAGUCCUGUGUCCAUCUAGAGCGGGGGCAUUGACGGUGAUGGCCAAGUUAGCCAAAUUUCGAGUACGAUUUACUUCUCCUGAAGCAUUUUUAACUUUCUUGCAAGUUCCAUAAUCAUUUCAUUCUGUUCCGCUAUCAAUUGUCCCGACUAGUCAGUGCGUUCUCUUCGUUAUUUCCUGUCAUUUCUGGAUGAUGGUCAGAGGAUGGGAUUUUGUGCUCUUUCCAUAGGGUGAAGUAGGGAUGUUCUGCCCGCUUAUAUCAACAUAGAGUAAUUUCUAUUAUCUAUAAAGUAAAACAACUCAAAGGCAGAUGUGUUAGUUUCCAUAUAUGAUAAAUAAUAGAAAAUAUUUGACAUGAAAUAACCACAUAGAGUUGUUUGAGUCAUAGCCAAGUUCUUCCAUAGGACAAAGUGGAUAAACUUGCCUUUGAUUCAAACAUACGCACAUAAGCACAUGAAACAGUUAUAUCACACAAAAAUGUUAUAAUAACGUGUAUCCUAGCUGGGGUGACCCUUUUGAGCCAAGGGUUCAGGCCUAAAGAUUUUUGAAGAAAAUAUAUGAUUCUUCGAAGUCAACCCAUUAACCUCCAACUUAUAUAGACACGAAAAGGUCAUAAAUGCUUACAAAUGAUAAUAAAAUAGGGAUACAAUCUUUAGGGAAAGGGAAAUAACAUGAAAGAAGACACGUUCCCACACAGGGGAUAGAAAAUACUAAUUCCCGAGUGCUUCUUCUAUCAACCUUUGUCUUCUUAGGUUCGUCCAUUUCUUAUAUUGGUGACAUUCGUUGACGUUAAAACUGUGCCUUAGAUGCCAUGCAACUAUCCAAAUUGAUCAAUUUCUUGCUUGGCUUGUUUCAAUUCCUUCGUCAAUCGAUGUACGAUUGAGACAUCCUAAUAUAAAAGUGAAUAAAGCAAGUCUUCUCCCAACCCCCAAAGGAUAAUGGAUUGGAUUAAACAAACAUAUAUUUCUUCAACACAUAAAUAUGAUUCGUCUGUAAUUGACUUGGGGUCAAUAGACGUAGGCCAAGUUUUCUAAUGGGCCCAAUACCCCCUCGGGUAUUGGGUCAUCCUAGGCUCAUGCCUAAAAUAGGGUUUUGUUUUCGUUCUAUCCUAAGUGUCUAGAGUGAGUUUGAGCAUUGGUUCUCAAGAAGACAACUUGAGUUCGAAAAUACGAACAGCCAUCAGACGACUCACGUACUAAUAAGCCGUUCGUAUUUUCAACACAUUUUGGAAUUGAUCAAUAGGGGCCGAGAUACCCACGAAACCCCAAAAUGGUUUAAAUAAUGCAGGAAUAUGCCAUGAGAUGCGAUAGUUUAAUUUUACAUAAUAGAAACAUAUAAACACAUAAACAAUUAAUCAAAAGACGAAAUCAAACAUUUGGUUAGAACCUAGUUAAAGAUCCCCAGCAGAGUCGCCAUUUCUGUUUUGCGGAAUUUUUGACUUUUGAGAGAUUCGCCACUUAAUUUUGAAAAGGAAUUAAGAAACCUUUGGAGAGUUACUUCAAACGAUUCAAAAUAGAAAAAUCGUUUUAAGUUAAAGAUUCUAGAUAAGCAGUUCCUAUUAACAUUUUAGGAAGUUGUUAGGCAGCUAAAACGUCCGCUAACUUGCGGUUAUCCGGACUGUUUGAAAAUAUCUUUUGAUUAACUUCUGAAAAGAUUAAUUUGUUGAAAUAGUGAUUUGAUUUUUAAAAAAAAAAAAGACACGUGUAAAAUAGGUUUAGGCGACUUAAUAGGGAUUUUAACUAAGUUUAAACAAAACUAAUAAACAAAUAAACACAUAAAAGGGGAAGGGAGGAGAAAGUAAAGGAUUUAGGCCACUGAGCCCAAAUCAACAAGACCUGUCCUAGUAUAGUUGGGAUUCCGACCCAUUUCACCUGUCCUAAACUAUUUUUCGAGCCUUUGGAUCGAGUCUUGCUCCACCUAUAUUAAAUACAACUUUGGCUUCGAGGCCGAAAAGAAUGAAUAAAUAAAUGACUAAACGAAUAAAUAAAAAGAAGACAAUAAUAAAAAUUGAGACUUUUCAAGUCUCUUAAUGACCUCAUCAAUGGGUUUUGACCCAUUUUCCUUCUUCGUCUAUCUUCUAGCACCCGCACGCCAUGUAGUGGACCUCGGGUUUAAUCUUCGAACUUGACUCGAAGGGGUAGACCUCAUUGGCCCAUUACGAAAUGCAAGAGAAGCGAAAUCUUUUUGGGGGCAGCAAAACGAGACUACGAGCUUCAUCGGAAUCAACCACCACCAAUAAAACGUCGCCAGCAACUUGAAAUUUUUUAUUAGCUGACCAACUCUAUGAAACAAAAAAUUUUACUAAAUAAAAAUGACUAUUUUGCUUAAAAGGGAUUUUUUCACCUUUCUAGCUUUUUUUUUUCUUCUCCCCUCCUUUUCUACCAAAGUAGUGGUAGUAUUUAUAGGAGAGAAUGGGGUAUUUUUUUUCCUUUUCCAUCAAUGUGGGAGAAAAAGCAUUUAGGGGGGUUUUUGGAAUGUAAAAAUUAAAGAUAAGGUGAGGUGGAAGAUAAUGUGGGCGAAAAUAGUACAAUGUAGUACAAUCUUUGAAUUUCAAAAUUAGAAAUGGACAAAGUUGGGGGGAAUAGUACAAUUUGAAUUUAUAUUUUAGUGGGAAUUGGGUAAAAGUUAUGAGAGUUCUUGAGAAUUUCAGGGUUAUUUAAAAUAUAACCCCAAUUGGAAUUUAAAAUUUAGCCAUAUUUAUUUAUUUUGACCAAAUUAAAAAUUAAUUGACGAAUUGCAUUGUAAUUAUGAUCAAUUUUCAAUUAUGGUCAAAUCUAAUAGAUUGGCUAAAUUAAAUUAAAAUUCGAUACGAAUUAAUACUUUUUUUUAUCCCGUGCUUCUUGAUUUAAUAAAAUGAAUGCAUAUUUAUCCAAAUAAAUUAUUUUUGAGAAUAAAUUAUAUUUAAAUUAAGAUUUUAAUUAUUUGAAUUUAUUUUCAAGAUAAGCCUUAAUUAAAUCCGAUAUUUUGUAAAAUAAAUAUUUAAGUAACAAAUUAUAUAAUCUCGUAUAACUGAACACGAUAGUAUAUAAUCUCUACUUAAAAUGACAAAAUCAAGUACGAAAAAUAUUUUAAGUUUUUUUUUAUUUGGAUGAAAUAAUUAUUUUGGUUUAUUAGAAACUGAAGAAACUCAGGAUUAAAUUUAGUCGUGGAGGGCAAAAAUUAGGUGUCAACACUCAUUGCUAAGAAGUGUAUUUGUGACCCAACUGUUGUGGUCCCCUUAGAAAACGUAGAUGUUCAGAAUAGUCUCUCUUACGUAGAAAUUUUAUUCGAAAUCCUUCAUCGCCAGAUUCGUAUGCUAAGGAACAAAGAAGUUCCCUUGGUCAAAGUUCUUCGUCAGAACUAGUCUGUUGAGGGAGCCACUUAGGAAGCAGAAGAAGAUAUGCGAACCAAGUACCCUCAUCUCAUCACCGCAAACUCAGACUUAGUUUAAGGUAACAGUUUCCCUCAUAUUUUCCCUUUUUCCAUAAUCAGUUUCAGUUGCACGUCAUCCUUAUGUCAUUCAUGCAUUCAUGAAACAGUUCAGUCAUGUAUCAUGUUUCAGACUCAGUCAGGCAACCAUACUUUCAGUAUGCAUAAUUAGCAUGUAAUCUCUUAUACCUCAAUAUUCUUAGCUUAAUUAGUCUUAUUUGAGAAUGAAUGUUUCCAAGGGGGGGAUAUUGUAAUACCCCAUAUUAUUCUUUACUCAAUUUAGCUCCAAGUGUAUGUGUAAGAGACUUAGAACCUAAAAAUUUAGCUAAGUGUUGCAGACUUAGUCUCAUUUUUUACCUUUAAAAUUUGAUGAUUUUAUUCUCGACCUUCCCGACCCCGAAAAGUUGGUUUCUAAAUUAAUUCAUGACCAGAGGUGUUGAUAGUUCAUCUCGAGUAAGUUUCGGGUUUUUUGGACGAUGUUUGGGGAAUUUUUGGAUAGCCCAAGCAGUGGACCAACACGAUAUGAUCGCAUCGCGUUGGCUUCCGCAUUGGCAACAGCAACACAGUACGUCGCUUAUUACGUCGGGUUGUAUCACCAAAGCGUCGGGGCCAAAUUCAGUUUAAAUAAAUUUUGGGUCCUAAGGGGUAUUUGGGAAAAACCCCCCCCCCCCCCCCCCAAACACUUUAAUUCAACUAAAACAUGGUGUUUAGGACAAUAAUUUUUCCUCAUAUUUUAUAAUUCCCAAUAACUGAAAUCAUUCUCUCCCAAGAAAAAAACCCUAGCUCUUUCAACCUUCAAGAUCAAUUCUCAAGAAAUCCACCAAGAACUUCAAAGAAUUCUUCGAUCAAGGUAUGUUAGGUGUUCAUCCUUGGGUCCUUUUCACCUUUGGAGCCCAAGCACCACAUUUUAAACUUAAGUUAUGAGUUUCACAUGAUUAAAUUGAUUUAUGUCAAUGAAUAUUUUUUUUAUGUUGAUUUCGCGUUAAGAAUAUAUGUGUGUUAAAGUAGAAUGAACCAAUACGUAUUUUGAAUGAUGUAAUUCUCAUGUCGAAUCCCUAAGUUGUGAAUUGAAUACUAUAGUCAUUGUAUUUUAUCAUGUUGCUCAUGCCCAUGUAAAAGUUCAUGCCUCCCAUGUGUUUAGUAAAAUGUCUAGAUGAAUGAGUUCUGAACAAUGACUACUUAUUAUGUUUCUAAAGUUGUAGUAUGGUCCCAUUGUCAAUGCUAUCGAGUCCAGGGGGUUAUUAAUACCCAAAAUUUAGCUAUUUACGUAGUUUUCAGAUUUUACAGUAUGGAUUCAGUUAUACCAUGAGCAAUAUCUUUUAGUCAAGUUACCAUAGUUAGUUGUGUAUUCAGUUAAGCCUAGUCCAGUCUAAUGAUUAGUGUCAGUUCAGUUGGGAGUAGGAUUCAACACCGAGUGAAUCCAGGGAUGGGGGUAUUACUGUCAGGUUAGGGUUUGACCCUUAGUAGCAAUUCCUGAGUUAUAGAACUACAUAGCCAGCUUAGGUUGAGAUGUCUUCCUGUCAAUUAGGGUUGACACAUAUAUCUUGAGUACUCCUUCUAGAUUAUGGUGACUCAUGUGUACUUCAGGAUAUUCGUUUAGUGGAUCCACACAUCCAUUGUUAGUACCCGUGGCACGAUAUUGACACCUUUUUAUCUAGGGUUACAGGCUGGAUUCCAAUUAGCUCAUAUUGGGGGCAUGUUGGUUAGAUGAUACCUCCCAUAGUCUUAAUUUAAUAUUUAGUAGAGUCAGUUUAGGUUUGUAGGGCAUGUCAGUUAGAUGUCCUAUCUCAUAAAUUCUCACACUCAGGUUCCCGACCAUACUUAGACUUUCCAGUGAAUCAGAAGCAGCAAUAGGGGUGAGUCUUCGUCCUUCAAAGAUGAGUUAUCUUAUAGUUGGUUACGUUAGUAGUUCAGUUAUUUUAUCAGUUGGAGUUGGUUGGGGGUUUGUCCCAUCAAUUCUACAGUCAGUAAAUUAAAGACUUCCAGACUACUACAAAAAGUUGGUCAGUUUUUAGUUGUUUUCAUCAGUAUUACUAGCAUGUUUUUAGACGUUUAAAAUAAUGAUUUAUUAUUGAUUUUAGUUGUUAAACCUUAUUGCCUUUUUAGUUAAAUUCGACACAUGUCUUUGUCAUUAUUUUUCAGUGCUCACAGCAGGUACCAGUUCAUGAGUUAGCUUGUGGUCUCUCAGGGCCAUAUGUACCAUUUUGCUUCCAAGGUGCAUUCCCGGGGCAUUACAAGAACCUAUCAAAAACAUAAAGACUUGAAUCCCCUAGAAGGGGUAUCCUAAAUAGAACUUAGUGUCCUCAUAUUAUAGUUAUCGGAGGGAGUUUGGCACUCAUGUAUAUAGUGAUACCUCUUUGUUCAGAUCGUGCUUAUAGAUUUAAUGAAAGAGUAUGUCCACAAGUAUAGUGUAGCGACCUUUGAGCUAAGGUGGAGAUGAUGAACUAAGAAAAGUCUUGAAUUUUAUCAUGGUGGUGAGUUUUAGGGACAAGUCAUGAUAAAUCUAUUCUUAUCCUAGUAAAUUCCUCCUAUUUCAAUUUAAGAGGACAUUCUACCAAUGUCUUAUGUAUUCAAAUUGUGCCUAUGGCUAAGGUCCAAGUUCUCUAUGCAACUUAUGGCCAUGCUCCAACCCCUGAACUAGAAGCAAUAACGUUUCUCAGCAAUUCAUGCUUCCAAGUAUUCAAGUUCUAUGUUAUGACACUCAUGAUUCGUAAACCCAUAUCUCACUUUAUACGUAGUUCAAAGAAACUAUUCUCUUUAUACGUUACCGACUCAUUUUAUGUCAUAUCUUAGCCCAAAGUGAUGCUUCCUAUGCAAACUAAUAACCAUUCUCAGUUCUUAGAUGAAAAGUAAUAGCUUCAAGUGACACUACUUGUCUUAUUCCUUGAAAAUAUGAAUUUCGUCUUUAUGUUAUAUGACUCAUGAUAUAUGCACUCAUGUUUCUCACUGUGCCCUGUCCUAAGAAACCAUGCUAGCUUAUGAUUAGGCCUAAAUGACCCUCUACUUAUGAUCUAGGUAUUUACUAUGAAGUAUUUCGUGCCUAGUAUACCAUAUCUCACUUCGCAUGUCUCACCUUGAGUAGUACGAUAAAUUGGAUUCAUAAUUGAGCUGUAUCACCCUCAUUCCUGAUUCUUGUACUCUAGUCCCUCAAUGACACUCCUUAUGUUAGGAUGAUAGUGGUUAUGAAAGCGUAGUAAUGUUUUAGAUAAGGGAGUAAAUAUUCUUUAAUAUGAAAAUUUUAGUGUGACUACUCAAGCUAAGGUUAUAGAUGAAGAAGGGUAAAGUGAGAUGAACUUUCGUUAUAUGAUAUAGAUAGAAAGGGGAGAUGUGGUGAAAAUCAUUGUGAUUGUGAUUGAAGUUUUAAAUUUUUGGUGGGGAGAUCCAGAAAAUGGGUGUGGUAGAGACAGGCUUGAAUGUUGUGAUUAAUAGAUACACAACCCAUUGUGUUAUAUAGCUAGUACUCCUUGAUUAAGACCUAAGGGUUUUUUAUUAUAGUGAUAAUACGGAGUAGUAUUUUCUGAGGAGUGUAGAGUAUAAUGUCCCGUAAGUAAGCUAACUCCUUUUAACUCCGAAUUAGGUUUCAACAUGGGAGAAAUAUGUAUUUAGACUCAGGACCUUGUAGUUAUGUGUUUCAUAGAGGAAUUACAAGAUUGAAAUGGUAAGUGUGGUAUUCAUAGCUGAAAGCAUUGUUGAGAAAAGUCGCUAAAUUUAUGGGCUAUUAGAUGUAUCAUUUGAGGUGGAGAAUACUUCUAUCUUAUGUCCCUGGAAAAUUUUAUUUUAUGUCAAGCUACAAUAUAAAUCAGGACCUAUGAUCACAAAAUCAGUUUAUGCCUUACGUUGUUAUGAUCAUGUUCUAUAGAAAUCAUGUCCAAUCUCAUCUAUGUGUCAAGUUUCAUUAAUUCAUGGUUCGUUCUUACACAACUUACUUGUCAUUGUCAUAAAGCUUUUUUUGAUGCCUAUGCAUGUCUUGUUGAAGGAGAAUUCCAAAUAUGAAGUUACAUCCUUUAUUCCAUACUUUUAGAGCUUCAAUAAGUUCCUACCUAUCAUUCAAGGAUGAAUGAUUUCAAGAGGGAGAUAAUGUAACACCCCAUAUUUUCAGGCUAAAAUUUGAGCUAUCAUUUUACGUGUAUAGACACAGAACCAAUGAUUUUUAUGUAAAUAUUAGUGUGGUGAUCAAUUCUAUAGUGUGAUAACAUCUUUGGAGAUGAAUUGAGGUCAUAAAAAUCUUGUAACUCAAAGUUGAGUUGAGAACAUUUCUGUCAAUUGAGUUUUAGUAGACGUUCCUACACGGGUCAACUUUCAAUAGCCAUUACUCCUAGAAUAAAGCUAUUUAGGUGGCCUAUUAUAUUCCAAAUGAAAUGUCUUCAAAUCUUCUUUUCAGUGUAUCUGAUUUCACCUUAAUUUGAUACCAGAGUAGAAAGUUAUGCUCAUUUUACAUGAGAAUGUAUGUCUGCCAAAGAUUGACGAUGGGAAUUGAUGAGCCGUCAACUAGUUGAUGGGAUCUCAACUGAAAUAGUCAACCUUAGGUAGUAAAGCUCAAAAUCUGUGAGAAGUUGACAACUGGAGUUGAUGAGCUGUCAACUAGUUGACGGGAUGUCAGUUGAAGUCGUCAACCUUAACCAGUAAAGAGCAAAGAUGACUAGAGAUUGGAUAUAGGAGUUGACAAGCCAUCAACUAGUUGACGGGCUAUCAACUGAAGUCGUCAAUGACAAGCCAUCAACUAGUUUACAGAUUGUCAACUGAAGCCGUUGUCAUACCUAAUUUUUAUUUAAGGUCAAAACGAGCACGACAUUAUGGACUCUAAAAGAAUUAAUUUUUUACUGAGUCGCCACCUAAUUUUUAAGAAAAAAUAGAAAACUUAUUUAUUUGUUUAACUAGUAUGACUUUAUUUAAGGUACAAAAUCAUUUUAGAUUCCAGGUAAGGAUCCAAAUUAUUUCGAAAGGAAGGGAUUAGACACCCUUCAGAAUCCAUAAAUAUGGUUUCCGAUCAGACUUAGGUUUAUUAAACAAAGAAGAGAAAAAAAAUCAAUGUUUGUAAAUACAAAUAUAAAAUAUGUAUUGAAAUAAUGCAUAUGCUGUCGUAAAAUAUAGGGACAAUACUCACAAAAAUAUCUGAACUUUGACCGAAUUUUCAGUUGAGCAUACUGAACUUUGCAGGGGUCCUAUUACCCCCUAGACUUUUUUUUUUGUAUUUUAAUGGCAUAUAUCUGUCAACUUUUACAUGUGCGUGUAAUUCACACGCAUUGGGCGCGUGAUAGUGAUAAAAAUCAUUAUAAAACCUUGUUUUUUGGUCAGAAAUUCCCUCAAUUUUUUAAUAAACAAUAAUUUUUAUGGUUUUUUAUUUAUUUUUCAUUUAUAUCUUUUAUCUCUUCUUUCUUCUUUCUUUCUUUCUUUCUUUCUUCUCUUAUCUUCAAUGGUGCUCCUUUCUCUUCUCUCUUCUUUCUUUCUUCUCUUCAAUGGUGCUCUAUUGGUGCUUCAUUGUUGUAUUGGAAUUUGAUCAUCUUCAACACACCUAAUUGAAUUACAUCAAUUUGAACCAAUUUCAAAACACAUAUACACACCAAAUGGGUUAAUCCUUCAAUUCCAUCAAAAUAGCAAAAUUAACCCAUCAUUGCCACCACCAACCAACUUUCAAGAAUUAGAAAUCAAGAUUUUGGUGAAAAAAGCUUGUCACCAUCAAUCAACUUUCAAGAAUUAGGAAUCAAGAUUUUGAUUAAAAAAAAGUUCGUUUGGGAAUGAAGCCUUAGCUCCAUUCAGCAAAGGAAAAUACGGUAUACCUCAAAUGGUUACAGUUGUCAUUCUACUAAAAAGGAAAAUACGAUUUUGGCCUAAAGCAAUGAAAUCGCUGAUUUGGUGAAUUGUUACAAACUCAAAUAAGACUGAAAUCUUUUUCAGUUGAUAUUAUACACAGUUUUAUUCCCUUGGAAUUUGGAGUGUUUGUUCUGUGAAAAUCUUUUCCAGUUGAUAUUCAUUAUAGAGCUUGUAUGUUUGUGGAAAUUGAUACAAAGAAACUUCGGUGGUCAAGUUUUGAUCUGCUAUGGUUGUUUCAAGAAAUAAAAGCUUAUUUUGAAAAAUUAGAAAUCAAGAUUUUGGUGAAAAAUGAUGAAAAUUGAUGAAAAGAAUAAGAAUGAAAAACAAAUUAAAUAAAAAUUAAUUUUAAAUAAAAAUACACGUGUCAAUAUUAGAUUGGCGUGUGUAUUACACUUUCUACUCCAAAACUGAAUAUAGCGUUUUGGGAGAGGGGGUAAUAAUUCCAUUUUAAAAAAGUGUAAUAGGACCCCCGCAAAGUUCAAUAUACUCAACUAAAAAUUCGAUCAAAGUUAAGAUAUUUUCAUAGAUUUUAUCCCUAAAAUAUAUAUAAACAAAGUAUAUAAAUAUGGAUGUAAAGACAAAAUUGAAAAAGAAAAUUGUUCUAAGAAAAGACUACAUAAUAUUUUAGUGUAAAAGUAUGAAUUAUUUAAUUAAAUAUCUAAAUCAAUUUUAAUACAAAUAUUAACGACCUAAAAUUGCUUAACGCGUGGUGAGGAUUGCGUAAAUAAAGAAUAUACCGCCCAACACCCCAAAAUAAAGAUUUCACUAUAAUUAAUAUUUGUACAAGUGUAAAAGUAUAAAAAAACAAACAUAAAAAUUAAAGCCUUCUUUAAAUGUCAUUCCCGAUGAGUAUUCCCAAUAACCUAUAUAAACACUUGUAAAUAAAAUGUUAGUAACAAAUAAAUAAUUAUCAAAAUAAAUUAAAAAGAUAUGUUUGCAUAUAUAAAUAUAAAAUAUAAUUUCUUGUUGAAAGGGAGGGCUCGGAUAUGAUUUUAGGUACGCUAUGGCUACGAAGUGGUUGCUCAAUUUAUUAGCCGUCCUAAAUCGUCUUGCUAAGAUACGAAUCAUAAAACUUUUGCGUUAUUAUAAAAAUUUCGUCAUCGCCCAAAAUUUAUUUAUUUUUAUUACGUAUUUAUAUACGUAAUAUACGUCUUUUUAUUUAGACUCGAAAAUCGACGGAAAAUUUCUUCAUCGAUCAUGUGUCUAUUUUUUAUAUAAAAUAAAUAACGUCAAAAUUAGAGAUCCGGCUUUUGUAUUGGGUGGCCUCACAUAUCCGAUGGAAUGAUAAUUUCAUUGGCCAAUUAUAUUAUCAGUGUAAUAAAAUGCGGAGAAAAAGAUUCAAGAUCAGCCUCAGACAGUGCAAAACAAUAGCAAACCAAUGGAAAUACAAUAAACCAUGAAUCAAGAACCAAGUCACUGGAGUAGAUUUUUUCUAGUCAACGAUCAAUAUGAAAUUAACAAGAUAAUGUAAAAAAGCAAUUUAAGAGUAACAAAAAGUCAACAAUAAUCCAUCGAAAAAUAUCAAAUAAUUGCAAAGGAGAUCCGGAAGCUUGCUUCCACGGCAAGAUUUGCUGGAGCAACACUUCAACGGUAAUGCUAGAUAUAGCCAGAUCUGUGUGAAUCAAAUGGGUAACAUGUGAAAUCAGUUCAAAGCAGUGGUGACCAUUCAUACCCAAAACAACAAAUAAAAAAAAUAGAGGGGUAAGGGGGAGGGAAAUACGGCGGCGGUGGGGUUGGAGGAUUGCCAGUAUCACCUCCGGCGAGCCAGCGAUAGAGCUGCGAAAAAAUAGGGCGGCUGAACUGGUUUAUUCGGCUAGAUCCCGAUGUUUGUGGGUUGUUGGGUGAUGGAAAAGGGGAGAUCGAGAGGGAGAAGGGAGAUGUGGUGGUGGUGGUCGCCGGCAGAAAGUUCGCGAGUGUAGACAAUGAAAAUGGAAAGGAUAGAAAGAAAGAGAGGUGAAGAAAGAGGCUGCUGAUGGGACAUAUGUGUGGUGUGCGUAUUUUGGCCUUUUUAAUUAAUUUCUAAAGGCCCCUUUUGUUCCCCUAACGCACAUUAAACCACGGGUUAUUGUCGAUGGAUUUUUUUAAUCUUGCCAACCAAUAUGUAAAAAGUUAAUCCAAUGGUUAAAAGUUUCAACCCGUCGUCUCAAAUGUCAUCUUUUAAAAAGUUGACAUGAUCUUGACUGAUUGAUUUAUUGCUUUGUGUAUUAAAAUAAUUAAACCGACAUACAUGUGCAAAUCGUAUUAAAUAACGUACAAAAUAAUGAAUGCCGAUAUAUAAUUAUAGAAAAAUAUAAACGACAAAUAAAAAAUAUAACUAUCUUGAAAAAGUAUAUAAUACUAUAAAUAAUUAAAAUUAUACUGUGUAGUAAAAAAUUACAAUGUUGUGUUGUGUACAUAUGCAAAUGACUGUGCAAAAAUAUUAAAAUAAUAAUAAACUGAUAAAAAUUUUAAAAUUUACGAAAUUAAAAAUAAUUAUCAUUAAAUUAUGUAAAAAUUAAAAUAUGACAAAAAUUGAUGAAAAAUCAUAAAAUAAUGACGAUGAUCAAUAAAUUAUUAAAAAUUAGAAAAAAAAUGUGCGAAAGUUUAUAUUUUGUGUCAUUUAACGAUCAAGAAGUCUAAAUGCGUUAAUUUCACGUUUGGAGAGUUAAAAUUAGGUGUCAACAGCCGUCAAUUGAGAAAUUCCUGCAUAUUUUUUUUUAGUUUCUUUAGGGGUACUUUUUUCUAUUCCUAACCUCAAACCCUACCCCACGACUUAAAUCACUCUAUAAGUAUUAUUUACUUGUCAUUUAUCAAUUUUUAAAUGCUCAAUCUCCUCUCCACUCCUAAGUGAAAAGAAGUUAGGGUUUCUCCCAAAACUCAUACUUUCAAGGCUCAGAUUUAAGUUGCCUCAAAUUUUAUUCAUAAAAAAAAGUAUGUAGAACGAUCCUUAUACUCAUGGGCUUAACUAUGAUGUUUCCAUAAACUUUAAAAUUUUAUUUGGAGAAAAGACAUAAAGUCACCCCUCAAUUUGUCCAACUUUUUUAGAAAAGAUAUCUAAACUAUACGGACGACCUAUUACCCCACGAAAAUUACAUAUACCGUUUGUAAAUAGGUCAUUUUGACCAAAAUUUUGCCUAUGCAUGUAAACGCGUGUGAUUGAAAAAAUUAUUGAACCAGCAAAUUAAAAAAUACGACGUGUAAUAAAAAGGUUCCAUUUUUUUAUUUUGUAUUUUAGUAUUUUUUUUUCUUCCUUUUCUAUUAUUUUCUUUUGUUUCUUCCUUCUUCCACAAAAGAAUAUCCCCAAAACAGCCUUAAAAUGGUAAAACAACAACUCCAAAAUAACUCAAAACCACAUAUGUGUUCCCAUCUGUUGCUAUUUCAUCAAUCACCUCACUUGUAUAAGAAAAUGUAUUUGUGCCAAAUCAUUUUUUAAGGUCAUAUUUGACUCCAUUUUUACACACAAUUCAAAAGAUCUAUUAUUACUAAAUCCUUCUGUUUACAUUUAGAAUAUUCCCAUAGAUUCCAAAUUUAUUUUAAAGAAGUGUCAUUAACUAAUGAAGUAAAAGGAAGCUUUUUCAAUUGAAUUUUAAAUAAUAUCAAGGAGGUCUUGAUACCAUCCCUCAAUUUAGAGAGAUGAAGGUGAGCCUCAUAAAUUUUUUGAUUUUUUGAGUUUGCUGAUAGCUGCAUCGUAAUAUCCAAUAUCACUAUUACUAUAGUUUCCGUCACAAUUAACUUUAAAAUUGUUGUUUCUUCCACUGAUUCCAAAAGAGAAGAACAAGAAUGUGUGUGGAGUUUGGGGUGGGAGCAUUGACUGACGUGGAGGGAAGGGAUUGGGUAAGAGGUCAAGAGGAAAAACAGUUAAAAAGAAUAAGAGAGAGAAAAAAAUAAAAGAGAAAAACAAAAAAUAUAUUUAAAAAUAAAUUAGUACAUGUCAAUCUGUGAUUGGUGUGCGUUUAGCACCUAUUUUUAAAAAGCUGGGAUUGAUUUAAAAAAGAUGUAUUAAUAUCAUUUUAAAAUUAUUUAGGGGGAUAAUAGGUCGCCCGCAAAGUUAAAGUUUCUUUUUGAAAAUCUCGGACAAGUUUGAUGAUUUCUUUAUGUCUUUUCUCUUGUAUUUAUAUACAUAUGUUAUGAAUUUUAAAAUUGUUGAAGUGUAUGAAUUAUGAUCUCCUUUUUACGAUAAAAAUAUGCAUUUAACUAGUGUUGUGGAAUAUUUUAUUGAAUGAUGAAAAGGUUGAGUUUUAAAUAUGUGGAUUCAAAGGGUGUUUCUUGUAUUUUUAAAUGCUCUUGUUUUCUCAAGGAGAGUAUAUGAAAUUAUGAAAAGUGACUACCUUUAUGAGUUUUAUAAAUAUCUUUAAAAAAUGUGGUUUGGCCUAAACUUGUUCAUGGAUUUUUGUAAGAGAAUUUUUAUGUGAUAUUUGAAGUAUUAUGGUGGUCAAUGAUAUAUGUUUCGAAAGAAGGGCUAUGGGGAUGAUAUGAUUUUAUACGACUUUCAAGUCUAGAUAUGACGAUACCUUUUACGGGAUGCUCUUGAAAGAAUAAGAGAUGAACUUUUAUAAGAAUGAAGCAUGAUUUUAAGAGGCUAAAAAUGGGCUUUAAGAGAGUUAGAUGGUUAACCAAGAAGAUAUGAGUUGAUAGGAUUACAACCCAAAACUGUGUUCUGCUGACGCGUGGAUUGAUUCGGUCCUGAAAUACGGAUGGUCAAUGUAUACUUGCCUUAGGCGCUGGUAUACUAAAAUAGAAGGUAGAGAAUCCAAUCCUUGCAAAAAACUUGGAUUUGGGGGCUUGGUUGAUGAGUUAAAGUCGAACCAUAUACCCCGAGGAUAGUAAAAAGGUUCGGAAUACCAUCUAGCUCAGAAUUUAAAAAAAAUUGAGUCUAUCUUUUUACGAGAUCGAUUGAAGCUUUUAAAUUAUGCCCAUGUACUUUUAUUUCUAUUUUUGUUAAACUAUUUUAUAAUGCUCUUGUUUAUAUUGUAUAUAAUAUAUGUUGUUUUUGGGGUAAUCGACAUGCCAAUACAUUUCAAGUAUUGACCGUCUUCGUACGGCUACAUCAUCUCAUAUUGAAGGUUCUGUGGCUCAAUCAUGUGGUCCAUCAUAGUAGUAGAACCAUUUGAAGCAUCAGAGUUGGCAAGUCACCAUCUUCAAAAAGGAAUUUUAUUCAUAUGUUCAUUUCUUUUAGUUUAUGAUCAGACUAGUGGCCGCCUUGUCCCGACCUAGAUAGUUAUUCUUCAGUCGAGGCUUCGUAGACUAGAUUUGGUUAACCUUUUUGUUAUGACUCUAUUGAUGGAGUUAUCUUAUAAGAUAUCUUGAACUUCAUUAUAUCUUCCGUAUUUUGCAUAAAUUAUGCUUAUGGUAGUAUGCUAUGAUGUCUCUCGGGACUUCAUGGUUCGGAAUGCCCAUCGCGGCUAGGGCUAGGACUCAAAUCUUGACAUACUUGGUAUUUAAGAACAGUUCAGAAUUCUAGGGUAUCCACGAAGCCGUGUCGAUUAGAGUCCCUUUUAUGGGUCUGUAACACGCCACACUUAUUAGAGGGAGGAUACGAGGCAUUUAGGAAAUUUUUCUCAUUCUUUCAUUCUCAAGAUCGUGUAAUAGUGUUGUCCAUAUGAAAAUUAUCCAAAUUUCCUCCUUGCUCUAAUUUUUUGGGUUGUACCUCAUUGUCGAGGCGAUACAAGUGCAAAAACUUAGAUUCCUAAGGAUGUGAUCCCUUCCACUGAGUCACCAAAAAGUUAGGAAACCGCACGAGUACUUGAAAGGAGUUCGUUAGUGCAUCAAAGUUUAUGGAUUCAAGGUAUACCUCUAUCUUUAUGAAUCGUGUGUUUCAGCUUGAGUUAAGAUGCGUAUUUAAUCCCUUUCAAAAACUUUAUUGCAGAUGUCUCACUUAAGGAGAAAGAUAUGUAUCUAAAUGUUGGGAUAGUAUUUACAACCAAGAGGUAUUAUAAAUUGGGGUAUUAUGACUUAUGAAUAGUAAAAUGGUCUCAAGGCAAGUGAUACGAAGUCAUACAUUUAGAUGUCAGAAUGAGGGUAACUUUUGAGUGAAAAAGGUAGUUAUACUCGUGUAACCAUUAAGUAAGUGUUGGGGGUGAUAUGUUCUUAUGGUGAUUGGCUAUGAUUGUAGAAAGAAUUGCAGAUUUUAUGGUAGUUAGUAGAGGAAGUGAUUAGUUAUGAUGAUUUAGAAUUUAUUUGAAAUAAGAAAGGAGCUCCUGUUGGAAGUUAUUGUAGUAGUAAAAAACUAAUCAUAGGUUUUGAAUGAAAGAAUAGGCCAACUAAUAAUUUAUCAAUUUAGACUUUAAUUAGGGAAAUCUUAAGGAAAGGGGGACUCAGUGAUGCAUAGAAUUUUGAAGAUAUUUUAAAGGUAUGCCUGGAUAAGUAGAUGUGAUGUGAGGAAGGAGACUGUGAUACUAGAUCGUAAUGGGUUAUGUUAAGAUUAAGUCCGACUAUCCUGAUUAUGUGGUCUUAUUACACUAAGAGUCUCUAAUUUUUUUUAUCUCGCAGUUGUAAGCUAGUCUAGUAGGUGAAAAGAUGUGUUGUAAAUUUUAAGGUACAGUAUCAGUGUUGUAAAGAAGAUGUGUUUGUAGGUCGUAUUUAAGUGAAAUAAGAAAUUCAGAUUGAUCAAUUUGUCAUAAAUUUUGAUGGACUAGUACAAUAUGUAGGAUAUUUCAUUGGCAAUUCAUGAUUGUUAAUAGAUGCUAAGCUUGAACUUUAGAUGUUGAUUGUGGUAAUAAGAAUGUUAACUUAAGAAUAGUAAUGUGGAUUUACGGGAGUAAAGUAGUGCUUGAUUUGUUGUGUGAAAGAGCUUAGGUUGAUAACUUAUAAAAAAAUUUGAGUUGGUAAUUAUGUUAUAUAUACAUGAGGACUAGUGUUGAAACAAUGAAUUGUGCUGAGUAUGUCCAUAAGUCUAGGGUAGUGGCCUUUGAGAUAAGGGGGAGAUUAUGAACCUAUGAACCUAUGCUAGCUUAUGAUUAGGCCUGAAUGACCCUCUACUUAUGAUUUAGGUGUUUACUAUGAAGUAUUUUGUGGCUAGUGUACCAUAUCUCACUUCGCAUGUCUCACCUUGAGUAGUACGAUAAAUAAGAGUCAUAAUUGAGCAGUAUCACCCUCAUUCCUAAUUCUUGUACUCUAUUUUCUCACUGGACCUACUUAUGUUAGGAUGAUAGUGGUUAUGAAAGCAUAGUAAUAUUUUAGAUAAGAGAGUAGAUAUUCUUUAAUGUGACUACUCGGGCUAAGGCUAUAGAUAAAAAAUGAAAGAGUGAGAUGAACUUUUGUUAUAUGAAAUAGUUAGGAAGGGGAGACGUGAAAAUCUUUGUGAUUAUGAUUGAAGUUGCUGAUUUUUGGUGGAGAGAUUCAUAAAGUUGGCGUGGUAAAGAUAUGUUUGAAUGUUGUGACUGAUAGAUACAUAAAAUGUUAUGUUAUGUGGCUAGUAUUCCUUGAUUAAGACAUGAGGGUGUUUGAUUAUUGUGAAAAGAUGGUAGUAUUUUGGGAGGAGUGUGGAGUAUAUAUAAGGUCCCAUAGCUAAGCUAAGACCUUUUAACUCCGAAUUAGGUUUCAAAAUUGGAGAAAUAUGCAGUUAGACUCAUGCUCUUGUAGUUACGUGUUUCACAAAGAAAUUAUUAGAUAGAAAUGCUGAAGUGUGGUUUUCAUAGAUGAAAGCAUUGUUGAGAAGCGUCACUAAAUUUAAGGGCUAUUACAUAUCAUUUGAGGUGGAGAAUGCUUCUAUGCUUAAGUCCCCCAAAAAUUUUAUUUCAUGUCAAGCAUCAAUAUAAAUCAGGACCUAUGAUUACAAAAUCAGUUUAUGCCUUACGUUAUUAUGAUCAUGUUCUAUAGAGCUCAUGUCCAAGCUCAUCUAUGUGCCAAGUCUCGUUAACUCGUGAUUAGUGCUUACACAGUUUACUUGGUAUUUGUUAUGAAGCUCUUUUUGAUGCCUGUGUAUGUCUUGUUGAUGGAGAAUUCCUAAUUUGAAGUUACAUCUUUUAUUCCAUACUUCUAGAGCCUUAAUAAGUUCUUAUCCAUCAUUCAAGGAUGAAAGAUCCCAAGUGGGAGAUAAUGUAACACCCCACAUUUUUGGGCUAAAAUUCGAGCUAUCAUUUUAUGUGUAUAGAUUCGAAAACAAUGAUGUUUAUGUAAAUAUAAGUGUGAUUAUCAAUUCUAUAGUGUGGUAACAUCUUUGGAGAUGAAAUAAGGUCAUAAAAAUCUCAUAACUCAAAGUUGAGUUGAAAAAUUUUAUGCCGAUUUUUAGUAGACAUUCCUACAUUGGUCAAUUUUCAAUCGCCAUUACUCCUAGAAUAAAAUUAUUUAGGUGGACUACUAUAUACUAAAUGAAGGAUCUUCGAGUCUUCUUUCCAAUGCAUCUGAUUUCAUCUUAAUUUAAUAUUGGAGUACAAAGUUAUGCUUAUUUUCCCUGUGAAUGUAUGUCUGCCAAAGAUUGACAAUGGGAAUUGAUGAGCCGUUAGCUAUUUGAUGGGAUGUCAACUGAAGUCGUCAAUCUUAGGUAGUAAAGCUCAAAAUCUGCUAGAAGUUGAUGAUGAGAGUUGACGAGCUGUCAACUAGUUGACUGGCUAUCAACUGGAGUCAUCACCCUUAACCAGUAAAGACCAAAGAUGGCUAGAGAUUGACGACAUAAGUUGACAAGCCGUCAAUUAGUUUACGGGCAAUUAACUGAAGUCGUCAACUGAGAAAUUCUUAUGAUUCUUUUUACUUUCUUUAGGAUUAUUUUGAUUUUUCUCACCUCAAACCCUACCCCACGACUUAAAUCACCCUGUAAGCAUUAUUUACUCAUCGGUUAUCAAUUUUUCAAUGCUCAUUCUCCUCUCCACCUCAAGAGAAAAUUAAAGAAUUUAGGGUUUCUCCCCAAAACUCAUACUUUCAAGGCUCAGAUUCAAGCUGUCUCAAAUUUUAUUCGCAAAAAAGGUAUAUAGAACGAUCCUUACACUCAUGGGCUUAACUAUGAUGUUUCCACAAACUUUAAAAUUGUAUUUAUAUAAAUAUGUUAUGCAUUUUAAAAUUGUUGAAGAGUAUAAUUAUGAACCUCUUUUUAUGAUGAAAAUUAUCAUUUAACUAGUGUUGUGGAAUAUUUAUUGAAUGAUGAAAAAGUUGAGUUUUAAAUGCGUCUUUAACAAAUUAUGUAUAGUUUAUUUAUGUGGAUUCAAAGGGUGUUUCUUGUAUUUUUAAGUGCUCUUAUUUUUUCAAGGAAAGUGUAUGAAAUUAUGAAAAGAUGACCACCUUUACCAGUUAUAAAGAUGUCUUUAAAGAGUGAUUUUACCUAAACCUGCUCAUGAAUUUUUUAAAGAGCAUUCGUAUGUGAUAUUUGAAUUAUUAUGGUAGUCAGUAAUAUAUGUUUCGAAAGAAGGGCUAUGGGGAUGCUAUGAUUUUAUAUGGCUUGCAAGUUUAGGUGUGACGAUACCUUUUACGGAAUGUCCUUGAAAGAAUAAGAGAUGAACUUUAAUAAGAAUGAAGCAUGAUUCUAAGAUGCUAAAAAUAGGCUUUAAAAGAGUUAGAUGGUUAAUCGAAAAGACGUAAGUAGAUAAGCUUAUAGUCCGAAAUCGUGUUCUGUCGAUGUGAGAAUUAAUUCAGUUCGAAAUAUGGAUGGUCAAUGUAUACUUACCUCAGGCACUGGUACACUAGAAUAGAAUGUAGAAACUCCAAUCCUUGCGGCAAAUUAGAUUUGGGGGCUUGGCCGACAAGUUUAAUUGAAGAAAAGAGUUGAGUCUAUAUUUUUAAGAGAUUGAUUGAAGAUUUUAAAUCAUGCCCAUGUAUUUUGAUUUCUAUUUUUGUUAAAUUAUUUUCAUAAUGCUUUUGUUUAUUGUAUAAAAUAUAUGUUGUUUUUGGGUUGUUCUACAUGUCAAUAUAUUUCAAGUAUUGUCCGUCCUUGUACGACUAUAUCGUCUCAUAAUGUAGGUUAUGAGGCUCAAUCUCGUGGUCCAUCACAAUAUUAGAACCUUUCAAAGCAUCAGAGUUGUUUAGCUUCCAUCUUCCUUAAGGUAUUUUAUUCAUAUGUUCAUUUCUUUCAGUUUAUGAUCCGACGGGAGCCUUGUCCUGACCUAGACAGUUAUUCUUCAGUAGAGGCUUCGUAGACUAGAUUUGUUUAACGUUUUUGUUAUGACUUUAUUGAUGGAUUUUUCUAAUAAGAUAUCUUGAACUUCAUUACAUCUUCUGCAUUUCAUAUGAAUUGUGCUUAUGAUACUAUGUUAAGGGGUUUCUCAAACCUUUGGGGUUCGAAAUACCCAUCACGACUAGGACUGCCACUCGAAUAGUGACAUCUAACUUAACUAAUUUUGAAAGAAUCCAAUAUUGAUUCAUUAUAUUUCUAGUGACAUCUAACUUAACUAAUUUUGAAAGAAUCCAAUAUUGAUUCAUUAUAUUUCUUGUCUAUCACAUUUAGAGGAGGAGUUCUCAAUAUAAAACAAACAAUGAAAAAAUCACACAAGUAUAAAAUUUAAUAGCCAAUAUUACAAAACAUACCAACAUUAUUUUUUAUUUAUAAAAUAUAAUUUUUAUUUACAAAAUCUAUCAAACUAUUUUUCUGACCCCUUUGUUACAUUCUUCUCUCUUACAAAAAAAAAAAAAAAAAAAAAUACUUCCUUUCCUUUCUCCUCAAAUACCCAAAACCUAAUCCGAAAUUCCAAAUCCAAAUUAAACGUCACUACAUUUACAAAAAAAUUAGUACAUCAGAUAAACUUAACAGUUUAUCAUGGAAGCAGCCACCCUUUAAUGCGAAAAAACUUUAGGCAACAUCAUGGACUUCAGUUUCGGACGAUGUUGGCACUGGCAUUGCCGACUCAGUUACCAAAUCAUUCAUAUCAUUUUAUAGAGUUUAAAAUAUAUAGAAAUAGGUGUAUGAAUAAUUUUAUAGUGUCCGAAAUAUAUAGAAAUUGGUGUAACUGUAUAUUCUGUCUAGAUGUUAACGUUAAAUAAAACGCUAAAUAAUUUGUUAUAACAUGUUAAAUUACUAAUUGCAUUAAAAAAAAAAAAGUAAAAGAGUAUUACGCUACCACUAUUACGUAAACCCCCGUUCUAAUUAGGGUUUUAUCAUAUAUUCACUAAAAAAAAUUAAAAGGUUAUAUUUAUUGGUGUCUUUUUACAUAUUUUGGAGUGUGUAUGUUAAUUUUAUUGCAAUAAUUUUAAUUUUUUUCCCAAAAUAAUUUUAUUAAUAUAUUAGGUGAAACCAUUGAUAGAUUUUGUAAUAUUGACUCUUACAUUGUAUAUUUAUGUGAUUUGCCCAUAAACAAUUAUGAGUGGCUAGGGUUUUGAAGAGUUUAAAUAAGAUAGCAGAUUAUAACACAAACUACUUAAUUAUUCCAUUUUUAUGUCUAUAAUAACUAGAUAGCCCGUGCCAUAUUGUUUGUUAUUUGUUUAUUCGCAAUAUUAUCGUACAAAAGAAAUUUAACUUUCAGGAAGGUAACUUCUUAUUUGUUUAAUUGUUUUGAAGAGCUUUCUUGUUGUACAAAUCAAGAAAGCUUUGUACCAUUUUAAUGUUGAUUUUCUGUGACUUGUAAUAAAUACAUAUUCCUUCAAAAAUUUACUAUUAAAGUAUUUAAAUAACAAUAAGACUAAUUGGGUAAUCCAUAUGUAAUAAACCUCAGCCUCAAAAGGUUUGAACUAAUACAUAAACCUACAUAUUCCUUCCUAGAAGAAAAAAAAAUUAUGAUUAAUAUCAACUAAAAUUUAGGACCUUCUUACUUUUAAUUCCUCCUUUCUUCCUAGACAUAUAAGAUUUUGACCAAAGAUGUGCAUAUCUUUUAACCUAGAUUCACCAUGACCAAGAACCUCCAAUGAAUUCAUUCGUGCAUCAGGAGCAUAAUCAUAGUCUCCAUCAUCAUCACCACCACCUCUCUCUACGUAUGCUGCUGGAGCUUAGUCGUAAUGUGGACUUGUUUAGACACGUUUGAAAGUAUGUUCUGUUACAAGAAGAAUGUGCACAACCAUAUGCUGGGCUGCCACAUCAAAAAUUCACUUUAAAUGUAAUCAUAUUAUUCUUUGUAUAGCCUGGUAGAUCUAGAAUCAUAUGAACAUGACUUAAGUUGUUUAGACUCUGCAAAAAUGAUACUGUAUUCAUGUCAAAUUCUCCAAAACUGUAUUAUUUUUAGAGAAUUAGACGCACAUCUAAUGAUACUUUUAAAGAAUCCAACCAACAUAGAACACAAUCUCUUCUUUUCAGAUCCAAU